UAUAAUUUGCAGACUCCACAAAUGAAGAAAAGAGCACAAAUGACGUUGGCAAACCUGAAACUUUCCCAUUGGGCAAUAAACAUUACUCCAGUCAAAAACAUUAUGGAAGAGGCAAACCUGAAACUUUCCCAUUGGGCAAUAAACAUUACUCCAGUCAAAGACAUUAUGGAAGAGGCAAACCUGAAACUUUCCCAUUGGGCAAUAAACAUUACUCCAGUCAAAGACAUUAUGGAAGAGGCAAACCUGAAACUUUCCCAUUGGGCAAUAAACAUUACUCCAGUCAAAAACAUUAUGGAAGAGGCAAACCUGAAACUUUCCCAUUGGGCAAUCAGCAUUACUCCAGUCAAAAAAAGUAUGGAAGAGGUGCUUCUCCAUCCGACAAUCAACCACCAAUUCCAUAGAAAUUCAAACACGGCUACUUUCUUGCCACGAGAAAGCGCUCAAUCGAUCCCCUUCUCCUCUAACAAACUACCAGAAAUUUUCAACCAUUUUUCAGUGAAGCCAACAUCUGAGGAAGCCAAAACAAUUAAGCAAACAAUCGAAGAGUGUGAAGCUCCAGACCUUAAGGGAGAGGAAAUAUAUUGCGCCACAUCUUUAGAAUCAAUGGUUGAUUUUAGCACUUCGAAGCUUGGAACAAGAAACGUUGAAGCAAUCUCGACGGAGGUAUUGGAAAAAGGAGCCACCAUGUCCAUCCAAAACUAUACAACAAUGCCGGGACUGAAGAAGUUGGCAGGUGACAAAGUCGUUGUGUGUCAUAAGCAGAACUAUCCCUAUGCUGUGUUUUUCUGCCAUGCAAUAAAACAUACAGCAGCUUAUGCUCUCUCCCUGAAAGGCGAUGAUGGGGAGAAGGUUAAAGCAGUAACCAUCUGCCAUCUAGACACAUCAGAAUGGGACCCAGAGCAUAUGUCCUUCAAAAUCGUCAACGUUAAGCCCGGAACCAUUCCCAUCUGCCAUUUCAUUUCCACUGAUGCUAUUGCCUGGGUUCCGAACCACAAAUCUGCAUGAUCAUCACUUAGCACUAGUACUGUGCGUAUAAUAUGCCUGUAUAAUUAUCUCCCUACUUAUUUCUGCCUGUUCAUCAUGUGGUGUAAGAUAUAUGUUGAGAUGAAGUUUUUGGGAUUAGUGGUCGAAAUUAACCCGAUCAUGUUUUCUCUUGUAACUAUAUAGACUUCAACUUGUACUCAUAAUAAAGCAUGCUAUAUUUAUGAAGAGAUAUUAAUCUUCAGGCAAAUAGAUAUUAUGAAAACAUAUAUAGCAAUUUAUCCAGAAGAAAUAUUAUGAAAUGAAAAGAAUAAAAAGUAAAAAAACAGAAGGAAAGGAAUUCGCACCUGCUAUGUAUGAAAGGACCAAGAUUGUUUUCCCUUUGGUUAAUGACUAGAAAAGCUCACUUGCAGAUUGCUUUCUCUGACCGUAGAUGCAACAGAAAUUUUCUCUUAAUAAUAGCACAAUGAUCGGGUAAUUGUAAGAACAAGUUGAUUUAAAAUUCCUUGACCCAAAAAAAAAAAAAAAAUCAUUUCAAAUUCAGGUCAACCCAUAGAUUUCUUGCCUUUUUCUUCUUCAUCACGUUGGGCUUGUCUUCUUCUUGAGGAUUGUAUAGGCCCAGGAAAUGCUUUGAGGUAGUUUUUGGCCUUGGAAGUUGGGACCCAACCCAACUUCACAAAAAGAAAACAGAUUUGCCAAAAAUCAAAUUUCAAGUCUCUCCUCAGAUCACUAAUACAGAUCAAAUUUUGGAUUUGAUGAACUAAAGUGGUUUUACUUUCUCUGUCAGUGUUUGAUGACUUAAUUUGUUAUUUACUUCUUUUUUUUUUUUUACUUGAUCUUUGUAGGGGUUUUUUUCUUCCGGUAACUUAAACGGGCUGGGCUGCCGUAAAGGGUAGAUUGAUGAAAUUGUCUCCUUUGUCUGAGUUCGAAAAUCAAGCCCCAAAAGCGCUUCGAAAGGGCAGUAGAGCCUUAGGAAGCGUUCUAGUCAUCUUCACCAACUAAAACAACAGCAACUUACAGAUGAUUUCUUAAGGCUUACAGAUAAAUUUUCUAGCUUGGCAUGAGAGGCUUGUGACAUGGAAGCAAAAUCAGCAUGAGUUUAGCACCAAAGAGGAAAAUAUGGCUUCCUAGGGAGAAAUGGGAGUGUUUAAGGUGAGGAAGAAGAGGUUUGCAGGCUGAUUUGGCUGAGGAGAGAGAAAGAAAGAACAAUGUUCUUCCAGUAGCUUGACAAAGCUUCUGACAGAUGUGAAAGUCGUCUGCCAUAAGAGGAAAAUGAAGAAGAAUGGUGAAUAGUGCAUGAAAUUGCUGGGUUUUUGCAGGUAAGAGAGAAAGCUUGCUCUCUGAAUUUGAGUUGGUUUUUGGUUGGGUAGAAGAGGCCCCCUUUUAUAGCUGCGGGAAACCAUCUUUUUUCAAGAAACCCUAAUGGUUUCUAUCCAUUUUGGCCAAGCUUUUCCCUUCAUUUCUCUUCUCCUCCCUUGACUUUUCCUAUCUUGGUGAAAUUUCCUCUGCCUAUUUGCACAAAAUUAGAGAUUUUGAGGAGCUCAAGACCCCUUUCCCGCAGCUGCCUCAGUGGAGAAUCCCCAUUUUCAGUCAUCUUUCUUCCUUCUUUUCUCCCAUCUUCCAAGGUUAGGUCUGAUGAGGGAAAGAAAUGGGUAUGCACACUGGUUUGAAGGGUAUUUUUGCUUGAAACUUGUUCUCUCCCAUGUGCUGGAGCUUCCCAGCAACUUACACACAUGGAUAUUUUGGCUUUCAUCGUGGCUUUUGUUUUCAGCUAGGUGCUGGAGAUUUCGCAGAUAUUUUCAUGAGUUGCUUGGGCCUUCUAGGACAAUAGGUUGGUUUAUCAAGUGAAUGGGCUAACUUCAUCAAUUGUUGGGCUAUUUUGGUUGAGUUAAUGGACUAUUUUGGUUGAAGUAAUGGGCUAUUUUGGUUGAAUUAAUGGGCUAUUUUUCUCUCUUUGUGCUCACCCACAUAUUUGGGCCUAAGAAAUGGGCUUGAGUUCCGGGGCUCCCAAGCAACCCCGGGACUUCCAUUUCUCGGCCCAUCAAUGGGCCUCAUAUCAACUUAUUACCAUCCAUAUCACAACCCACUCAAGCAAGCCCUGGGCAUCUUGCGUGGCUUGGGCCCACUUAAGCUUGUAGCGUGACGUGUUGCUUAUUUGCUUGGCAUGGCAUGUGUGCAAGCGCAUAUGACGAACUUUAGCGUGCCCAAAUUGGGUUUAUUCUCGGUAAGGUAUCGCAUUGGGCCGAGAAUUUAAUUGGGCAGAACUGUGGAUUUUUGGGCCUCAACAAUCUUAUAUAUAUUGGUUUUCUUUUUUUCCUUAAUAUUCACCACCUUUCUGUUGCAUAAGUAUUUCAGUCUUAACGGGUUUCCAUCUACCACUCAUCUUUGCUCUUUUAAGUGUAAGCUUUUUUUUUUUUUUUUUAAGCACAAGAUUAGAGGGGAGGGGGAUUUCUCAAUGUAAGCUUUGCAGUUUCAUAAUUAAUAUUUCCAAUAUCUCACUGUUAGUAAAAUAUGGAACAGGAAAAGUAUGAAUAAAAUACACACAUGUUUUAUUUAGCAAAAUUUUGACAAGAUACAACUGAAAAGUUUGGCCACUAUAUAAUAUUUUGAUAUAAUUUCUACACUUCUUCUCAAAAGAUUAGAUCACUUCACAUCUUGUGUAUGUGAAAACUAAUGUAAAAAGUUGAAACUUUAUCGUAAAACCUCGACAAAAAUGAGCUCUACUAGAAAAUGUUCAAUUUGGAUUCGUUGAUUUAAAUGGCAAUUUGACACUUGAUAGAAAUUUUUACAUACAUGUGUUAGUGUUUGAUCACUUCACAUGUUACUUACUAUAUUUAUUCCACUCAAGUUAGGUAAAUAUUAUUAUCAAACAUUUCAAUUAAUUUGUGAUUUUUUUAUUAUUUAAUCAAUUAUGAAUUAAUGGAUUCUUCUUGUUGUUUUGAAGACCAAUAAAAAAAAAAGGGUAAGGAUGGCUUAUAACUCUGAUAAAACAACAGUGACGUGGACAGCAGAUGUUACACCGUACUGAAGAUUUUUGAAGAUUCUUUAUUUGGGUUUCUUUCAAGAUGAAAACCAUAUUAUCCACAACCACAAUGAAGAAGACAGAAAAUGGAGUAAUUCAGAUGUUACCAGCCAUCCACGACAAACUGAAGUCUGCAAAGCAUUCGUAAUCUAAAGGGAGACUUUGGAAAAGCCCAAAGGAGAGAGAAAAUUUUUAAAAGAAGCAAAAAUGGACAAAAUUGCCCUUAUUUAUUUUUUGAUUUCCUAAGAAAUCCUUUACAUUUGCAUGUCUUUGGUUUGAAAGUUGAGAGGUUAUUCUGUCUUUUUUCAAAAAGCUUUGGCUUUUUCCAAAAGUGAAAGUUUUUUUAUGGGUAAAACCUAAAUUUACUUAAUCCCUAAAAAGGAUGGGGAGGCUGCGCAAUACUUAGCCACGUGUAGGCCAGGAGGCUUUCCAAUUUUAAUAUAUAUAUAAAUUGAAAAAAUAAAAUAAAAAUCAAUCUAUUAUCCUAUAUAAAAUAAAGAUUAUUGCUUCCAUGGGCAGUGCUAUGCACAGGACAGUGCCUGCCCAGCACAAAUUUUUUUUAAAUAAAAAAAAAAAAUCUACAUAUGUUAUAAGCUCAUCCAAAAAAAUAAAAUAAAAUAAAAGUAAAUUCUACAUAUAUGUUGCCCAUCUAGGUGGUUCCAUAUCUUCUCUCUCCUUCUCUUUUGGCUAUUAGACUUCUUGUUUCUCUCUCUCUCUUUGCUACCUCACAUCAGCAAGUUUCUCCCUCUCUUUUUUUGGGGUCAAAUUCUUCCUCUAUUGACAAAAUCUUCUAUUAUCUUGGGUGGGCAACUUGGCAACAACAUCUUCUCUUCUCCUUUUGUCAACAACAAGUAUUAUUCUCAUUCUCUCAUUUGCUAUAUAUCUUUAAUUAUAGUUUUAAUUUAAAAUUGAGUAUUCUAGGGUUUAAUUAGGGAUGAAUUAUAAUUUUAGAAUUUUGUUGAAAUUAAUUAAGGCUUCGAUUAGGGGUGAAUUAUUCUACUGCUUUGGUUUGGAAUUUUGUUAAAAUUGAGUAUUAUAGGGUUUAAUUAUGGAUGAAUUAUAAUUUUUGAUUUUGGUAUUAUUGAGAUGUUAUUAUGAGAAUUUGUUUCAUUUUUUUAUUGGUAUAUUUGAUUAAAAUUCUUUCUACAUAUUAUUCAUAGGCUAUCUUUUAUUAUGUCGGAUCACAAUCGGAAUCCCAAGAGAACAAAGAAUUUGAAUAGUGUUGUUUUGUAUUGCAUUGCAUUUACUUUUGGUUUUAGUUUUGCUUUUAGUGUAAAUUACUCAAAUGGUCCUCAAAUUUGUACCCGAUUUACAUUUUGGUCCAUAAACUAAAUUAUUCAUUCAAAUGGUGCACCAACUCUUUAUUAAUCAGUGCUUUGGUCCUACCGUUAUGUUUUCUAUUAAAUUUAGUCAUGUGAGCAGCACAUGCUACAUUUGUAGGGGUAAAUAAGACUUUUGACCACUUUAUCACCUAUGUAUCACCACUUUAUAACCUAUUUGGAGAACAUAGGUCAGUUAUGGACGGUUUUACAAUUAUAUUUGACGGCAACAUUAACAUAAUGUAACAGUGGGAUCAAUGGAGCGAUUAAUAUAGAGUUGAUGGACCGUUUGAACGAAUAAUUUAAUUGAGGGACCAAAACGUAAAUUGAGUAUAAGUUUGAGGACCAUUUGAGUAAUGUACCCUUCGCUUUUAUAUUUGUUGAACUUUUAUUUAUGGAUAGAUAUGCAUUUGAGGGUAAGACCCAUUAUGUUCCCCCUGACUUGGUGUAUCUUUUUAUGUUUAUUAAUGAAAUUCACUCGAACUGUUGAGUUUAGUAUGUAAGUUUUGCCUAACCGGCUUUUGAAUCCUAGAACCGCCACUGUUGCUCCAUCCUCCAUGCACUUGCAUGUGCUCUUACAAAGUGUGAAGUAGAUUUUGUGUGCUCCAAGUCAUUGACUAGAGCUGAAACAUGGUUAGCUAGAUUUAUAAGGACCCAUCUCUCUAUUUCCUAGACAUAUACCCAUCUCUCUAUAAAUCUAUAUGUAAAACUCAAUUUCAAACUUAAAUGACCAGUAAGAUAUAAGAGGUCAUAGUAUUCCUAUGUUUUUACAUCGUUGCCACCAGACUUCUUAUUUUAUUUAUAAUUUAUUUCAAGCAUUUCAUUAACUGCCAUAAUUGUAAUUAAUACUCCAUAUUAAUAGCAUAUCAAUCACCCCAUUUCUUUUGAUUGCCAUUCCCUCUAACAUAUCGCCCCUUAAAAUUGAAAACCAAAAAAAAAAAAAAUGUAAAUUACAUAUCCAAUAAUGUACCUAUGAAAAAUAUAAAUAUAAAUAUAUACGUAUAAAAAUAUAGGUUUAUUAUUUACCAAAUAAAAAAUAUAAAAAAACUAGGUCAGUUGCUUUGUAAUUGAAAUUUCUAUACAUUUUCCACAAAUUAAAAAUAGGUACACAAUAAUUUAUAGAAAAUAUAGGUGCAUUAUUUAUCCAUAGGUAAAAAUACCUAUAAAUGCACAUAGGUAAAUUAUUUACCCAUAUAUUAUUUUUUUGCUAAGGAUUUACCUUAGUUUUUAGUAGAUUAAUUUACCUACCUAGAGGCAUAGGUAGCUUAAAAAAAUUGUAGCACCUUAGUUGGUUGCAUACUAAUUUACCUACCUAGAGGCAUAGGUUGCUAAGAAAAAAUGUAGGUAAAUUCAUGUACCUAAACACAUAGGGGUCAAAUAGAGAAUAACAUGUUAUUUCCCUUCGAACAAAUUAAUUUCAAACCAUAACAAUAAUUGAAUUCGGAAAUUGGUAUAAAUAAAAGGAAAUAAAUAAGCUAUCAAUUUGAAAAUUAAAAUAAGAAAUGAUCAAGUAGUCAUAUUUGAAAAAAAAGAAAAGAAUAUAUUCUUGGUUUUUAUAGGAACAACGUGUAUAUUCAAACCAAAUGGCAGUAACUACACCAAGCUUUAAUUACUUUUUUUUAAGGCCAAAAGUCACUUUUGGUCUCUGUAGUUUGACACUUCUAUUACUUUUGACGCUGUAGUUUCAAUUCCGUCAAUUUUGCCAUUGUAGUUUCAUAUUUGUAGCAAUUCAAGGACAUGUUAAUAUUAAUGUCAAUUUGUUUAAUGAUGCAAGGGGUAAUUUCGUCAUCCCAAAAUCCUUGAGCAUAAAAGCUUGUCUGAAAUUCUCCCCAUUUCAUAUUAGGGCUCGAAAUUCAACCACUAAUCCCAAUUUUUGAAGAACCCUAUACCCAAAUGACCAAUUUCAAGCCCUAAUAACAAAUUAGGGAAGUUUUAGAUGAGCUUUUAUGCUCAAGGAUUUUGAGUUGAAGAAAUUGCCCCUUGCACUGUCAAAGAAAUUGAUAGGAAUACUGACUUGUCCUUGAAUUGCUACAAAUACAAAAAUACAGGGUCAAAAUUAACAGAAUUUAAACUAUAUGGUCAAAAGUGGUUAAAGUGCCAAACUACAAGGACCAAAAGUGACUUUUAGCCUUUUUGUUUAAAUAAGGAAAAAACUUACCUAUUAAAUCCUUGGAAUCUAUACAAAAUUGAAACACAGUUAAUCAGCAUUGAAUUGCAGCUAAUUUCUUAAACAAGGGUAUUAUAGGAAUUUAAAAAGUAUAACAUUUAAUCCAUUGAGCUUGAUUAGGAAUCUUGAUGAGUUGGAUCCUAGUUAUAUAGUUUCUCUUAUAAAAAUCGGGUUUUAUUUAUAGACAAAUAAAACAAUGGGUUGUAGGUAAGAAAAUAUUAAUUUGAAGGGAAAGUGUCACAUCCUGGGAUCGGCUCCGCCGUAGCACGAUAUUGUCCGCUUUGGGCCCCCCUCUCUGCCCGCACGGUUUUGUUUCUGGGAGCUCACGAGCAACUUCCCAGUGGGUCACCCAUCCUGGGAUUGCUCUGGCCCCCAACUCGCUUAACUUCGGAAUUCCUAUGACUCCGAAGCCAGUGAGCUCCCAAAAGGCCUCGUGCUAGAUGGAUGCGGGUGUGUACAUAUAAGACACAUCACCCCCUCUCCGUUGGUUGAUGUGGGAUCUUACAGAAAGAGUCAAAUUUACUAAAUUAAUAAAGCAUAAAUUGGAAAGGGAAAAGAUCUAGAGGAUGCAUUGUAGGAUUGCUCAUGCCAAUAAUUGCACCCUCUCGAUAUUGAAAAACCUAUUGUGUAUUAUUAUCUUCAAUCAUGAAUGAUGCACCUAAAACCCAAGUGUCCCAAGCCAACCAUUGCGCUCAUACCACUUGUUGCAGUACACAUUCACCCGUUUUUAAAGAAAGAAAUUCUACCAAUCGAUAUUGUCUCAAAUUUAAUCACAUAGGUCUAUUAUGGUUAACCAUAUGUACUUUUAUCGGCCAUAUAGAGGUACCUUUUUCCAACGUGCAACAAUUGUAUUUGAUUCACAAUUAUGUCUGAUAUACAUCACAUCAUGCCACUUGCCUCAAAUGAAUUUAAUUGAGUGAGGCAAUGGGAAGUAAUUAAGCUCUAUAUUGGUGGGUGGAGUGUUACUUCUGGAACCCUCAUCAUUCGUCCAUACAAGGGAACAAUUCCCUUCCUUCUAUAAAAUGGUGAAGCCAGUUGCUAUUGUUUGUUAGAGUUUUAGGAUCUGAGUGUUAGAUUUUGUGAGAAGAGAGAAGAGAAUUUAGUGAAAACUUCCAAUACUGCUCUGCUAUACGUGUAGCAGAGAGAACAUUCUGUUUUGUUAUAUAUUUUCAGUACAACAACACACACUUGGUGUGAGAAGAAAAAUGACUGUUAUGCACAGUACCAGCUGGAUGCUUUCCAUCAAAGUAAUCUCAGCCAUUCACUAUCUAACCAAUCAAGCUAUGACACCUGGACUAAGUAUAAAGAAAUACAACUAAGCAGAAAACAAGACUCUUAAUCCUGAAAUCAACUUAAGCACUUAUAAUUCAACACUCCCCUUUAAGUCUUGAGGUGAUUUCACUCCAAGCAUGCCUCUGAGAUAAUUGAAUCUGUCUUUGGCCAGAGGUUUGGUAAAAAUGUCAGCCAAUUGUUCAUUUGUAGGACAAUAUUCCAGAUUGAUUACCCCUUCUUGCAAUGCAUCCUUGAUGAAGUGAUACCUCCUGUCAAUAUGCUUUGUCUUCUGGUGGAAUACAGGGUUUUUAGUGAUUGCAAUUGCUGAGAUAUUAUCACAAUGCAAUGGAGUAGCUUCAGUUUGAAGCUCUCUAAAGUCUUCUAGCACAAAACGGAGCCAAAUAGCUUGAGUAGUAGCCUCAGCUGCACUGAUGUACUCAGCUUCUGCAGUAGACAGUGCAACACAGUUCUGUUUCACUGAGGCCCAAGAAAAUACUCCACUUCCAAAACUAAACGCAUACCCUGAUGUGCUCUUGCAAUCACCAACUGAUCCUCCCCAAUCACUGUCACAGUAACCAACUAGAAUUGAUCUUUUGCCUUUCACAUAUUCAAGACCAUAGUCCAGAGUUCCUUUGAUGUAUCUCAAAACCCUUUUAGCUGUUCCAUAGUGUCUAUUUGUAGGACAGUGCAUGAAUCUAGCUAGCAAGCUUGAGGCAUACAUGAUGUCUGGUCUUGUAGCAGUUAAGUACAGCAAGCUACCAACAAUGCUUCUGUAUUGUUCUUCAUUUGCAGCUCAACUCCCAUCAUCCUUAGCUAGUUUCUCAGUGGCAACAAGGGGUGUUGUCACAGGUUUGCACUCAGUCAAACCAAACUUGCUCAACAAGGUGCUAGCAUAUUUCUUUUGAUGUAGAAAUAUACUAGACUCAGUCUGAAUAACUCCCAUGCCAAGAAAGUGAUGAAGUAAGCCCAAAUCAGUCAUCUCAUACUUAGCCAUCAUGUCUUCUUUGAAUUCAGCCAACAAUGCUUGACUGCUCCCUGUAUACACAAUAUCGUCUACAUAGAUAGACACAAUUAGAAUCUCCUUAUCUCCCCUUACUUUGGUAUAUAAGGUUGUUUCACUUAAGCUUUUCACAAAACCACAUUGAGUGAAGUAGCUGUCUAUCUCUCCAUACCAAGCCCUUGGGGCUUGCUUCAGACCAUAAAGGGCUUUAUGCAAACGAUAAACCUUGUCUUCUUUACCUUUAAUUACAAAACCUUCAGGCUGACUGACAUAAACUUCCUCUUGCAGCACACCAUUAAGGAAAGCAGACUUCACAUCAAGCUGGAACAAUUUCCAAUCCUUUUGAGCAGCUAGAGCAAUAAGUGUUCUAAUGGUGUCCAAUCUGGCUAUAGGUGCAUAAGUCUCAUUAUAAUCCAGUCCAGGCUUCUGAGCAUACCCCUUAGCCACUAAUCUUGCUUUAUUCUUUUGCACUGAGCCAUCCAAAUUCAGCUUUGUCUUGUACACCCACUUAACUCCAAUCACUGGUUUUUCAGUUAGUCUAUCUACCAAUUCCCAUGUUUCAUUCUUUUCAAUCAUCUGCAGUUCAUCUUCCAUAGCCUUAAGCCAAGAUUCAUCCUGAGCAACAUCAGCAUAUUUUUCUGGUUCCAUGAUACACAAGUUACACUGAGCUAGAACAUCAUCUAGCCUUCUCCAUUUUAGAGGGGUGUGAUCAUAAGCUUGAGUUCUCCUUUCUUCACUGCUUAUAUCACCUGGAGUUGAUGAAAUGCUCUCUUGCAUAUCCAAAGUUUGAGGUGUACCAGUAGAAUUCUCAUUAGAACUGUCAGAUUUCAAGUCCAAAUCAACUUGGUUUUCAAUUGAGUAUGUUGUCAUAACUGAACCAUUUUUGUUUGUCCAAUGCCAAGCAUUUUCUUCAUCAAAUGUCACAUCCCUUGAUAGUAAAAGCUUGUUAGAAACAGGAUCAAAAACUCUAUAUCCUUUUUCACAAGUUGCAUAUCCCACAAACACUCCCUUUGUACUCUUAGGAUCCCGCUUGUGUCUCAAUUCAGUUGGCACAUGAACAUAACACAGAGAACCAAACACUUUCAGAUGUGCAAUUCCAGGCUUCCUUCCACUAUAUGCUUCGAAUGGAGUAAUGUUGUUGAGAGCUUUGGUAGGACAUCUGUUCAGCAAAUAGAUAGCUGUAUGCACAGCUUCUGCCCAUAGGAAAUAAGGCAUUCCCUUCUCAUGUAACAUUGAUUUUGCCAUCUCAAUGACAGUUCUAUUCUUCCUCUCAACUACUCCAUUCUGCUGAGGAGUAUAGGCCAUUGUAAGCUGCCUUUGAAUGCCAUUAGCUUCACAAAACUCCAAAAAAUCAGUAGACAUAAACUCUCCACCCCUGUCACUUCUUAUGCACUGAACCUUGUGUCCAGUUUGUAAUUCAGUCAUGGACUUGAACUUCUUGAAACAAAAGAAGGCUUUUGACUUGUUUCUCAAGAAGUAUACCCAAAUCAUUCUUGUGAAAUCAUCUAUAAUCAGCAUGAAAUAUCUGUUCCUUGCAACAGACUCAUUUCUCAUGGGACCACAGAGAUCCACAUGUAUUAGCACUAGUACUUUGCUUGCUCUUUGAGCUUGAUCUUUUGGAAAAACAUUUCUGUGCUGUUUUCCAAAUUGGCACCCGUCACACACACCACUUUGUUCUUCCAAUUUUGGUAAACCAUGUACCAUUUCUUUAUCACUUAGCUGCUUCAAUCCUCCAAAAUGCAGAUGACCAAAUCUCUUGUGCCAAAUCCAUGUGGAUUGAAGAAAACUAGUCUUCAUUAGUAACUGUUUUUCAGCUAGAAAAGAGACAGGAUAGCAUCUGUUACUCUUCAUUUGCACCUUUAUGAUGAGAUAAUCCAUGGAUGGGCUAUCAAAUACCCUGCACAUCCCUUCUCCAAACACUAGACAGUACCCAUGUUCAUCCAUCUGCCCAACACUUAGCAGAUUUUCUUUCAAUCCUGGCAGAUACAUUACUUCUCUGAUGUAUUUCCUGCCCUUUGCUGUAUCAAUACUCAGUGAGCCAAUACCAGCUACACUCACUAAUGCACCAGUUGGCAUUUGUACUCUCCCAGCUACAUUAGUUCUCACAUCAACCAGCAAAUCUAAAUUUCCUGUCAUAUGAUUGCUGCAGCCACUGUCAAUGUACCAUUCAUUGGUUUUGAUCUCAGUGGUUGAGCAAUUGGCAUAAAACAGGUUUCCUGUAACCUCCAUUUGAUUUACACAAUUAGCCUUCUGCACAUUUUUGCUCACUGUACAGUCUCUAGCAAGAUGUCCAACUCUGUCACAGUUAUAGCAUUUUGGUUUUCCCUUAUACCUGCACUCACCAAAAUGAUGCUUUGAACACACCUUGCAUUGAGGCUUUGUGUUUUCCUGAUUUGAGAACUGUGUUGAAGUGUGGUUCUGUGCAGAAUAAUUAUUCUGCUGUGUCUUGUCUUUUGCCUCCCAUGACUUCCCUUUAGAGUUCCAGCUUCUCUGUGACUUAGAUGAACCAGACUGAGAAGCAUUUUUGUUCUGACCCUUUGAAUUCACAGUGAAUGAGGCAAAUGCCUUCUCAGCUGUAUCAACACUAUGCAUUUCAAGCCUUUGCUCCCGACUCUUCAAAAUGGCAGUUACUUCCUGCAAAUCCACAGUUUCUAGUGUCUUUGUGUUUUCAAUCACAAUGCAUAUAGGGUCAUACUUCUUACUUAGACUAAUUAACACCUUCUGAACCUACCUCUCAUUUGACAGAACUUCACCAAAUGUUUUCAUUUGGUUAAUCAAUUCAGUUAGUCUAGUAAGAUAUUCAGAUAAGGUUUCACUAUCACGCAUCCUACUGUAUUCAAACUCACGUCUAAGGUUUUGAAGCUUUACCGAUCUAACAUGCUCUCCACCAUGAUAUUCUGAGUACAGCAGAUUCCAAGCCAUCUUUGCAGAGUCAGCAUUGGCAAUUCUGGGAAAAAUCUGAUCAGAAACAGCAUUUUGAAUGAUACCCAAGGCCUUCGCAUCCUUCAUGAGAAUCGCAGCUGUUUUCUCAUCAACUUCUUCUUCUGAACCAUCCUCAGAUUCCUGCUUCGUCUUUGAAUCUGGGAUUAAAAACCCCUUCUCUACCAAACCCCAUAAACCAUAUGAUCUGAAUAUGGUUACCAUCUUAAUCCUCCAAAAUUCAUAGUUCUCACCUGAGAAAAUGGGGAUUCUAGCCUCUGAACUUCCAGAUCCAGCCAUUACGAAUUUCAGAUUCGCCUGGAAACAAGAUGUUUUCAGAUUUGACCCUUGAUCGAGCUCAAUCAGCUUCGUGAGCUUAGAAUGAGCUCACCUCGAUCGAUUUUCUUCACAGAACAACGCCCAGCUUCAGAUAAUCAAACUUGGCUCUGAGGCCAUGUUAGAGUUUUAGGAUCUGAGUGUUAGAUAUUGUGAGAAGAGAGAAGAGAAUUUAGUGAAAAUUUCCAAUACUGCUCUGCUAUACGUGUAGCAGAGAGAACAUUCUCUUUUGCUAUAUAUUUUCAGUACAACAACACACACUUGGUGUGAGAAGAAAAAUGACUGUUAUGCACAGUACCAGCUGGAUGCUUUCCAUCAAAGUAAUCUCAGCCAUUCACUAUCUAACCAAUCAAGCUAUGACACCUGGACUAAGUAUAAAGAAAUACAACUAAGCAGAAAACAAGACUCUUAAUCCUGAAAUCAACUUAAGCACUUAUAAUUCAACAUUGUUACCAUAAGAGCCAGCUCCGACUUUCUUUAAUUUCAGUCCUAACGGGGUUUCAUCUUCCACUCAUCUUUGCUCUUCUCAGUGUAAGCUCUGCAAUUUGAUUAACUUUCCCAUUAUCUCUCACUGUACUCUAUAUAAAGGAAUAAGUGUCGUCCACUAAUUAAUUACACUUUGUGAGAUUUGAUUUUAAUUAGAGUUCGAAUUGAUGUUGCAGCUAGCAGCGGUGGCACUGGCAAACCAUGCUGCUCAACCAGCACCUCAACUUUACUGGAACUCCGUCCUGCCAAACACACAAAUGCCAAGAGCUAUCAGUGAACUUCUGCAUCCUGGUUUGUGUUGAAUAAAUAUAGUAUGUUACUGGAGUACGUAUGGCAACAUAUUCACAAAUGUGUCACGUAUUUUCCAAUAUGACGUUGAUAUAUAAUUGCAGACUCCACAAACGAAGAAAAGAGCACAAAUGUCAUGAAUGCUGUUGGGAAUGGAAAGCCAAUUGACCACAAGGGCAACCUGAAAAUACUGUACUACCACAGCUUGCACGACGCCCAUUUUCUUACAAGAGUGAUGAUCGUCCCACUGACAAUCAACUCCAUUAUAAAAACGUAGCUAUUUUCUUCUUGGAGAAGGACAUGCGCCCUGGCACAACAAUGAGCUUCCAAUUCCCUAGAAAUUCAAACACGGCUACUUUCCUGCCACCAGAAAGAGCUCAAUCGAUCCCCUUCUCCUCUAACAAACUACCAGAAAUUUUCAACCAUUUUUCAGUGAAGCCAACAUCUGUGGAAGCCAAAACAAUUAAGCAAACAAUCGAAGAGUGUGAGGCUCCAGGCAUUAAGGGAGAGGAAAUAUAUUGCGCCACAUCUUUAGAAUCAAUGGUUGAUUUUAGCACUUCGAAUUUUCGAACAAGAAACGUUCAAGCAAUCUCGACAGAGGUAUUGGAAAAAGGUGCCACCAUGUCCAUGCACAAGCAUACAACAAUGCCGGGACUGAAGAAGUUGGCAGGUGACAAAGUCGUUGUGUGUCAUAAGCAGAACUAUCCCUAUGCUGUGUUUUACUGCCAUGUAAUAAAACCAACAGCAGCUUAUGUUCUCUCCCUGAAAGGCGAUGAUGGGGUGAAGAUUAAAGCAGUAGCCAUCUGCCAUCUAGACACAUCAGAAUGGAACCCAAAGCAUUUGGCCUUCCAAAUCCUCAAAGUUAAGCCCGGAACAAUUCCCAUCUGCCAUUUCCUUCCCACUGAUCAUAGUGUCUGGGUUCCGAACCACAAAUCUGCAUGAUCAUCACUUAGCACUGUACGUAUAAUAAGCUUGCACCCCUGUAUAAUUAUCUCCCUACUCUACUUAUUUCUGCCUCUUCAUGUGGUGUAAGAUAUAUGAUGAGAUGAAGUUUUUGGGAUUAGUGGUCGGGUUGCCUUAAAAACACAGAUUACAGAAACUGCUUGAACUUAACCCGAUCAUGUUUUCUCUUGUACUCGUAAAGCAUGCUGUUGUGGUUCUACUUAAUUUCGUUCUCCCCAAUGUUUGAGUGUUUAAUUGUUACGUUGGAUAAUGCUUGUAGUUAGAGAAGCCUUCAUUUAUAUCAAAGUCCUCAACUUGUAAAGAUAUCAAUGGUCCUAGUGCUGCCACGUGUAAGAAGAUUGAAGAAUAAAGCUGUUGAGAUAUUGUUAGACCUGUUAUGCAGUUUAGGAAAACUGUUAGUAUUGAUAAGAGAAGGUUAGAGAUGUUAGAGAGGUUAGAAAACACGUGAACAAGGCUUUAACUCAGCUGAUAUAAAGUCUGUAGUUGUGCUCAGUUGAACUUAAUGAGAAAUACAACAAGUCUCUUCUCUAUCUCUGAAAUUCUCUCUGCUCUCUCUGCUUUACUUCUUUUGUCUCUGCUCUACAUUUUUUUUCAAUCUUCCUAUCUUAACAAAACUAUCAAGAAUUAAUGCAUCCAGAAACAUAUAUACCAAGACGCAAAACAACAUAUUUUUCAUGCUCUGUCUGUAACACCAAAGCAAACUUCCUUUAUCACAAAAGGAUCAAAUUCCAGUACUAAUCUAAUCCAUCAUGUAAAGCAUACAAUCUACAAGUGCCUCCCUUAAUUUGUCCAUUGGAUAUAUAUGUCACUUUUUGGUAAUUUGGUAUAGCAGCACCACGUAGUCUUGAAAUAGUAGUGCGGCUAUACCAAAUAUACCAUUUGCCCCUGCAUUUAACAGAAAAGUAAACAAAAUUGACGGUAGAACUAUUUGUCCUAACGAAACUGCAGUUGAAAGACCAUGAGAACGAUUUUGAAAAUUGAGGGACUCAAAUGAAAAUUGGGUCUAAGUUCAAGAACCAAUAAAACGAUUAACCCAUAGAUUUUGGAUCCAGUACCACAUCCCAAAGAGAAAACCACAAGUUUGCAAGCAAGUUUGUCCAUAAUAACACUACGUACAGUAUGGGCAGUGCGCUAGACUCAUCUCACUUUCUCAACCUAUCCUAUAGUUGUCUAAAAGAGUUUCUAAUUUAAUGUACUGAGAUUUACGAAAGAAAUAUCAGAGAAACAAUUUUCAGGCAAUAAAAAAAUGUCUUGGCAAGAAAAUGUACAAUUUGUUACAUAACUUAUUAAAUAUGAACAGUUGAAAGAAAAAAGAAUCUGGAUGAGGGAUUUGCAAAUUCCUAUGGCCCAAUUACCUUUUUUUCUUUGUUGUUUUUUUUUUUUUUUUUUUGGUUCUUUUGAUCCAGUAGCAUAUUCCAAAGAAUGAAAACCACAGGCAUGCAAUGCAAGCUCUUUUCCCACGUUUUCCUCUGUUUUUCUCCUAUCAUGGAAGUGAUUAAAACACACCUCUAAGCUUGUUUUGCGUUUGGUAGCCGAGUGUAAAAGCUCAAUGCAAGAUAGUUUGAGGUAGAAUUUUCUCCUAUUUUAUUAGGACAAUGAUAAUUAAAAAAAAGUGUGAUUCAUUGAAUAUUUGCGGGGUUUUGUUCAGACCUGACAAAGUUCUAAGUCAACACAUCAAAUUCCUUUUUCCAACAUGCAACAAUUGUAUUUGAUUCCCAAUUUUUUCUGAUAUACAUCACAUCAUGCCACUUGCAUCAAAUGAAUUUAAUUGAGUGAGGCAAUGGGAAGUAAUUAAGCUCUGUAUUCGUGGGUGGAGUGUUACUUCUGGAACCCUAAUAAUUCGUCCCUACAGGACUCUAGAACUCUCAAACUUCUUACAAGGACUACUUAACUCUAUAGCUUAAUGCAUAUAGCAUAUAUAUGCAAACACAAUUAGAAAUUCUACAACAGAAGCAAGAUCAAUCUCACUAUGCCUUCUAAACAAACAAACAAAUAAAACAAGCAUAUUAAUUGCUUUAAUCACUCUACUAACAUCAACACAGCACACUUAGUUUACUAACAGAUGAUAUAGAAAGGAAAAAAAAGGACCAAUAGGGAGAAAAUGGUGAACUAAGGAGAGACUAAUACUUCUGGUCCUUAGAAGGCAUAACAGAAAUAAUAGAGCACACUGCUUGAAUGCAAGUCAGUAUUAGGAGCAAAACAGCUGCAAUGAAAGAAAUAGUUGCCCAAGGUGUAUUGAAAUAAUGUUGCCUCAAAUUUGCCUUCCAUUUGUUCCAAGGCUUUCUGCAGUAGCUAUUAAGGCGCUCAGAAAGAAUAGCAAAGUAGAAGCUUUCACGAUACACUGCAAUUCCUUUUCCGAGGUUGUUAAUCAGAGUGCACACCUCAUUGUAGUCACCAAGCAUAUUUUUGACAAUCCCAUCCUUCAGAAGGAACUCCACAUCCUUUUCGGUGUUCACAAACUCAUCCAUGAGUGAAACAUAAUCACUUAUGUAAUUCUUACGGCAAUGGCACUAUUCAAAGGCAAUGAGGUUACGGAGUGUGAGCUCUGUGUAAUCGUGUAUUUUUAGUUUUGGAAUUUCUAGAAUCCCAUCGUUGAAUUGUGUUAACGCAGCUUUCCUUUCCUAGCCUACACGGAAGUCAACUUCACAAUCUCCUCCUAGCAAUUAGUCUUUCCUGCUGUAAAUCAGAUUUCCUACUGUAAAUCGGAUUGUAUUCAUGUCUAUAUUAUUUCCUACUUUAAGUAGAUAUCUUGUACUAGUAUAAAUAGGGACUUUGUGUAAUCUGUUAAAUACAAGGAAAUAUAUACUCUGCAUGGUAUCAGCCUAACCUAGGGUUCUCUCUCUCUCCCUUAUUCGAUCCUCUUCUCCUUUAGGUCCACCUCAUGGCUUUGUCUGAAUCCACCAUCUCCCUCCCAAGCCCCAACUCUUCUAUUUUAUCAAGCUUAUUGACUCCAACUAUCUUCUUUGGCUCCGCCAACUCAAACCCUUUUUAGUCGGCCAUGACCUCUGGAAAUUUAUCGAUGGCAUUCAUAAACAACCUUCUGCCCACACCUCCACCUCUACCACCGCAACACCCACAACCACCACCACUCUUACCCAAAUCAAUCAUGCCCAUGCUCAGUGGUACCAACAAGACCAACUCAUUGUUAGCUACAUCACCAAUACACUCUCUGAGUCCAUUCUCUUUCUCACUGUUGGUUGCACCUCUGCCCGGGAUCUCUGGGAGUGUCUCCAACGCCACUUCUCUCAAUCCAGUAUGGCCAGUGAAUCUACUCUUCGUUUUAAACUCAUGGAUUUGCAAAAAGGCUCUGAACCCACUUAUGCUUACAUUCGUCAUGCUAAGUCCUUUGCCGAUUCACUGGCUGCCAUCAAUGAACCUGUCUCCCCAAAAGAACUUGUCACUACUGUGCUUUGGGGUUUAAGACCCUAUUGCAACAUCCUCGUCACAGCAAUUCUCAAUUUCCCUCUGCUUCCUAACUUUGCUAAUCUUCGUGCUCGUUUGUUAGCAUUUGACGCACAGACUCCUUGAAUCUCUCCUGAUCAAAACACAGCGCAAAUGGCCACCCAAUCCUCUCCUCACACCACCGGUCAUACUUCCUUCCCUUCUCACCGUGGUGGUGGCUCUUCCAACAACAGGCGUGGUGGCCUCGGUGGCUGGCGCAAUAGCGGCCGGGGUGGCUGGCGCAGCUUCUCAUCUUCCUGGAGCAACCCGUGGAAUGGCUUCCAGCAGCUCCAAUGACCUAAUCAACCAUGGCCUCCUUUUGCUCCAAGUUCUGGAUCUCAAAGCAACUGGCCUUCCUUUCAGCCUCCUUGGGCCUAAUCUGCCGCUUCUAUCAAACACUUUGCCCGGCCCAACUCAGCUCCUGGUGUCUUGGGACCCGCUUGGUGCACUACCUGCAAUACCAAUCACAUACUACUACAAUAUGUCCUCAUCGCUACAAUGGCCCAGAAUCCUUUCUUUGCUAGGGCUCAAUUCAUGUAGCCACCUGACUCUACUUGGUACCCUGACACAAGUACCACUCAUCAUAUGAUUGGUAGUCCUUCUAAUCUCCAAAAUCAAUCCUUCUAAUCUCCAAAAUCAACAGCCAUAUCAGGUUCAUAAUUCUGUAUUUCUUGGUAAUGGAGAUUCUCUCCCUAUCUCUCAUACUAGCUCUCUCUUUUGUCUUCCAUCUCUUCGUACUAAUCUUCUUUUUGUUGCCCAUUUUACUUGUGAUAAUUUAGUUUUCUUUGUCUUUACUCUUGACUUUUAUCAAAUCUAUGACUUAUGUACUGGUUCGUUACUCUUUCAGGGCCCUUCUAAAGAUGGUCUUUACCCACUUUCCAUCUCCUCUCACUCAUCCAUAGUCCCCCAUGCCCUUACCACCGUGCACUCUCCUGCUUGGCAUCAUUGCCUUGGCCAUCCAUUCCAUCGUGUGCUCUCUCAUUUAGCGCCAUCUCUAGGCUUUAAAGUUUCUCAUGCUUUCUGUAAGGAUUGUGCACUUAGCAAAUCCACCAAACUGUCAUUUCUUAGUAAUAAAACCUUUGCCCCAUCUCCCUUUUAUUUAAUUCACUCUGAUGUAUGGAUGUCCUCGGUCAUUUCUGUCACUGGUUAUCGCUAUUAUGUCUUGUUUACAGAUGACUUUUCUCGUUACUCCUGGAUCUAUCAUAUGCACCGUAAAAAUGAGGUCUUUUCUCACUUUCAAACCUUUCUUGCUAUGGUUAAAAAUCAAUUUCACACCACUGUACAAAUUCUUUAAAGUGACAAUGGCACUGAAUAUGUUAAUAAUGCUUUCUCUGAUCUUUGCAGUCAACUAGGCAUCCACCAACGUUUCACAUGUCCCCACACUCCCCAACAAAAUGGCCUAGCUGAACAUAAACACAGACACAUUGCCACCAUGAUCUGUCCCCGGUCAUUUAUUCAACCAUCUUGACCUUUUGCUUGAUCAUUUUCCACAAGCAACCGUCCACGUACCCCAAUAAUUUAAAAGGGCUGAUGAUCUUUAAUUUGGUGAAAGCUUCUAUCUACCUACCGUGCUAUAUAUGAGCUAUGCAAUCGUGACCGUGUUACAUGACGUCCCAAUGUCGUAGGGAUAAAAAAAUAAUAGUCAUGGUUUUCUUAUUAAUGUCAAUACAUUCAUAGCAAAGAGCUUGUAGCUCUAGUGGUUAAGAGCAAUUACCCAUGCACUUGAGAUAUUUUGUGUUUAAAUCCCCUCUUCCCCAAUAUUUCUUGUAUAAAAAUAAAAAUAACAAUAAUAAUGACAUUAAUGUUGUAUUCUAUAAAGUGUUGGACAUGUUUUAUACCCCUUUCUUGCAAAUUACAGUUUGCCACGUGUACAAAAAUAAUAGAUAAGUGUUGGACAUCAAGAGCACUUACAUAUAGGUUUAAUAGGUAAGUUUUGAAUAUUUCUGUAUUUAGCUUUAAAUAUUGAAAAUCAACCUAUUAGCAUAUUAAAGAUUUGUCCAUAUUCGACGUACAUUCUCUUAUUUUUCUCUCAUUGAAGUAAAUACAAAACUAAGCACAUAGUGGGAAAGUGCGUCACGAUUAGGGGUGGGUUUAGUCUAGGUUGGUUCAUUUUUGGGCUCAAUUUGAACACCGAACUGUAAGCUUCGGUUUGGCUAUUUUGGAAACCGAAACCAAACCAUAAUUGAUGAAAACCGACCACUUCGAUUACCUUCUGGUCUUCCAACCAGAAGAAAACUCAAAACUUUAACCAUACCAAGUGCAACAGAAUUACACCAGGCUGGAUUCAAGUUUAUGAUGGUUAAAGAUAAAAACUUAUUUGACAUACAAUUUGAGAAUGGAAUCCUCAAAAUUCCACACCUGCGAAUACGGGGUUUAACAGAAAUUUUCUUCCGCAAUCUUAUUGCCUAUGAGCAGUGUGAGCUUCAUGAUCAUUACAUCAACGACUAUGUCUUCAUCAUGGACCGCCUGGUCGACAGUGCCAGGGAUGUGGAAUUGCUUGUGAAGAGUGGAAUUCUUGAAUCUAUGCUACCGGACAGCGAGGCAGCAGGGGAAUUUAUUAAUUCUCUUGACUUGGGGCCUAUUUUAGGCAAGCUUGAAACAAGACUAUUUCAGUUCACCAUGGGCUGGCCUGUCUAUUAUUGUAGCCGCUAUACUAGUUGUGCUCACAUUUAUUCAAACAGUGUGCUCCGUAAUGGCGCUGUAGGUUCUUCAUUUCCUCAAUUUCAUGUUUAGUGGUUGCAGAUUUGUUGCUCAUGUACGUGUUUAUCUAAAGUUAAAUAAGAGUGAUUGACUGGAUUGACUGUUAGUCUGUUAGUUUGUUUUUCUGGGGUUUUUCCCCCCUGUUCGUCAAAAAAAAAAAUAAAAGAGUGAUGGCUUGUGCCUAUGAAAAUUACUUAGGAGUAUGCUCCACAGAGCCAAAAUAAAUAAACUAGGGAAGUGGAGGUUCUUCUGUUUGUAUAUAAAUGAGCAAUUCAAACUCUCAGUGCCAAGGGAGUUACCCUUGAUACAUUUGUUAAAAAUUAUAUAUUUGGUCUUACAUCAAACAAAUAAUUUGAAGGGCUUUUUUGACAACUGCUGACAGCGUUUGGCAGAAAAGUUUAGAAGCGCUUCUACGCUUCUAGAUCAUAAAAGUGCUUUACCAAAAAGCACUUAGAUUUCUUAUGAAAAUUUCAACAUUUUUAUAAUAAAAGCGCUUGCUAGAAGCACUUAUAAGCAGAAGUGCUUCAUAGAGAAGCAGUCCCAAACGAGCUUGAUUUUCAAAUGUGCUGCUUAAGAAGAAAUUUAAUACGUUUUGAAAACAAAAAAAAAUACGAAAUUUAAUACGUUUGUUUUACAAAUUGUAUUAAUUGUUAUCAAUAAUACUUGUGCACACCCACAACAUACUUCUUUCUUUCUUUAUUUUCCUUCAGUACAGUUCUGCCUUUCUUUAAUUAUUUUUAACGAAUGCAAAGAGUUUGUCACAAAAUCAAGGAUUGAAAAAAAAAGAGAGUAAAUUAUGUGCUAGAGAAACUUUCCUGCAGAAAUUGAAGAACAACUCUAGUUUCUCUCUUUCGCCUUGUACUCCCGCACUGAGGUUAGUAUUGUUAUAAUGUGCAGAUUAUACGGUCACUCUUGUAUAAUGGCGAGAAGGCUCUAAUUAUAUUUUUGAACCUCUUUGACAGGACCCGCCCCGAAUUUCCCGAAACCCAAGACGAAUUCUGUGGAAAUUCCCUACAUCACCCCGAUGUUGGGCCCACUUCUAAAACUAUAUCAUUUUUCCUAAAAAGGAAUAAGGGCACGAGACUUUCUACCGAAAUUUCGGCAGAGUCUCUCCUGUAAAUUGAACAUUUCCCAAAAUUUCAACCUGCAUAAAACACAUUUUAUAUUACCCAACUGGCAGCAUGCACAAAAUAAUAACAUGCAAUUCACAUAAACGGCCUCUGGCCCUCCGGUAAUUCAGAGCAAUGCAAACUAGCAACUCUAAACCUAAUAAAACAACAUAAGUAACAUUUAGCCAGCGGCUGCACCCAGGCACUACCCUAGGCUACCUACGUACCCUUACUAAGGGAUCAAGCCACACGUAGUUCUUUCAUACAAAAUUUCCAAAUCCAUCAACAUGCAAUCAAUUACAGAAUCCCAAACAAAAUCUUUCUCAAACAUCAUUAGUUCCCAACUCAGUAUAAUAAUCCUUAAUUCAUCUCUGUAAUAAUCACAAUAUCUCCCCAUACGCCGGAACUACCAACACCACGUAUGGAGCCUGCCUGUACGCCAGAUAACCAACGACACGUGGGACCUCAUCAUCAUAUCACAUAAUCUCCCCAUACGCCGAAACUACCAACACCACGUAUGGGGUCUGUCAACACGCCGGAUAACCUACGACGUGUGACCUCAACAUCAAAUCACAAUAUCUCCCCAUACACCGGAACUACCUACGCCACGUAUGGGGUCUGUCCACAUGCCGGAUAACCUACGACACGUGGGACCUCAUCAUCAUAUCACAUAAUAUAUUAACGAUCAAGAAAUAUCACUACGGUCAUUUAAUCCUCCUGGGAAGGUAAAACUAUCUCAGGAGACUCACGGUCAACCAAGGGUCAAACUACCUCAUACUUGGACAAACGAGCCCACGGAGCCCACAACCUCCGUUUUACUAUCCAAGAGUUCCUAUAGGUUCUACAAGGUUUAGGAUACACGGCUUGCAAGUUUGGUCAAGAUCAGACGGUCGGAUCGCUCACGAUAGGACGGUUACUGCAAACCUAGCCCUAGGGUUGGCAUUUUCGGAGUAUCCGAAACUCCGUUUUACGAUCUGUCGAAUCAUAGACGAUCCUAAGGAUUUGCAGACUAACUAUAAUAAAUUCAAGACCAUCCAACGGUCUAAACCUAUCGAACCCGGAUAACGCGCAAUAGGCAAUAUCCAAAUUGAAAUCCGAGCACACCUACGCACUCGUGAGGACUAGGAGAUUACAUCGGGACAUAGUGCCCUUUUUCUACAGUGCCCAUGAGCCGCCGCACGCACCAGCAACGCGUGGGUGCCCAAAGCGAUUAUGCAUCGCCAAAAAAUCUCAAAACCACGGCUCAAGACUCCUACCCUAGGUAUAACACCCUAUUUGGAACCACUUUUGUUCUUGGACCUACCCCAAAAACUGAUCAGAAGUGGCCGGAAUGGCUGAAAUGUAAUUCAAAAAUCAAGCUACCAACGCUCAAAAUCGAUGCAAUCCUACCCAACCAUCAACUAGAUUAUGAAGAAUGGAUAAAUUUCCAUACCUUGAUCGCCAACAAUGGCGGCCGGAGGAGAGAGAUCUGAUCCGGCGAAGUUCGAGUGAAAACGGCCAAAAAUCAUCUUUUUCAGGCGGCUGGAGGGCGACCGAUGUCAGGGAAGGGCAGGGUCGUGACGCUAAGGCUGAGCCUGUCCUUUUGGCACCGGUCCCUUCCGCAGCCGUGUCCGGUGGCUGGAGUUUCGAAGAGAGAGAGAGAGAGAGAGAGAGAGAGAGAGAGAGAAAUCUGAUUUUUAUCAAACCUUUUUGCCAAAAUUACGGUUAUGCCACUGAGGGUAUUUUGAUAGUAUCUCUCUCGUUACAACUUCGAUUCGAGCCCACCACGUGUGUACGGACUCAUCUAACUGUGUUGUACGCAACGGUAUAGUCGAAAUUCCCAAAUUAUUUCCUUGUCAAAAAGUCAACUUUAAACAUUAUAAAAUAUUUUAGGGAAAAAAUGGUAUUUUCUCUCAAUAAAUUAGUAACUAAUUUAUUUAGGACUGGGUCAUUAUACUCUUUUUCGCUUCAAUGGAUGGGAAAAAAUUUUAUGUAAUAUCCCACAUCGACCAACGAAGAGGGGGCGAUGUGUCUUAUAUGUACAUGCCCGCCUCCAUCUAGCAUAAGGCCUUUUGGAAGCUCACUGGCUUCAGAGUCAUGGGAACUCCGAAGUUAAGCGAGUUGGGGGCUAGAGCAAUCCCAGGAUGAGUAACCCACUGGGAAGUUGCUCGUGAGCUUCGAGAAACAAAACCGUGAGGGCAGAGAGAGGGGCCCAAAGCGGACAAUAAGGCCUCGUGCUAGAUGGAGGCGGGCAUGUACAUAUAAGGCACAUCACUCUCUCUCCGUUGGUCGAUGUGGAAUGUUAGAAUGGAAUUGUUACCUUUGGUGUGGAGGUGUUCUAUCAUUUGAGCAAGAAAUUCCCACAUAUUCUUCAACUAUUUUUCAAGCAUGCAUAUUCCUCCCUAUCAAUCUUUGGUUUCUUCCUUUACUGUGCAUAGUAAGGAUCCAGUCAGGGACGGACCGUCGCUAUGACUAUCCUGGGCUAUAGCCCAGGCAAAUUAUUUUUUUUUCUAGUCUAAAAUAGCAAUCCCACCGCUUGCUGUAGUACUUGUUCAGUUCGUCACAAACAUGAGCAUAAUAGAAGUUAUCAACAUCUAUAUAGGAACCCCAAUGAAAAGGCUGUUAACUAAUAAUGAAGUUAACCCGUCAAUUUUUCCGCAUAUCAGAUAUCUCUCAGAAUAUGCGAUUCCAUAUUCAAUAAGCCACUCCACAUGCCCUGAGGUUUUCAUCAAACCACCCAUUAAGGAAACAUACUGACUCAUGUAAUUAUCAUUACUCAUCGGGUAAUGCAAUUGUUCAAAGGCAAGGACAUUUCUCAUUAUUUAUGUAGCGAACCCCAAUGGAAAUGGUGGGAUCUUCAGAACCCCAUCGGUGCUACUGAAUUGUAUGUCAAAUAUGUUUUCACCUUGUCACGCCUCAAACUUGACUCCAGCGUGCUGUAAUUCUGUCAAGCUGGGUAUGGAUGAUGGGAGUUUGAUGCAGGAGCAUAGGGGUGGAUCAAGAUAGAUAUUUACUAUUUAAUUAGUUAUUUCAUGAUAUAUUGUUAUUUUCUUAUUUAGGUAGUUUUAUGAUAUCUUUUAUUAUUUAUGUGUGAUUUUAUAAUUAAUUAGUAUACUUUUGGACCAAGUAGCCUUGGUGCUCAAGUCUUGUAAAGCCUAUAAAUAAGGCUAAUGUAAUAGUUGUAGAAUAGAUGUCGAUGAUUAAUAAAAUCGUUUAUUUGUGGCAUGGAUUUGCUACGAUAUAUGUGAGUUUGCACUAGCCCUAGAUUUCAGUGCUCGUGUAUGUGGUUGGUGACCUGUGUCCGGAUCCCGAUCCCCAUCAAUUGGUAUCAGAGCUAUGGCUCAAGAUCUGCUAUAUCGGGGAGGUUUUUGGAUGGAGGGUCGUUUUAACAACUACAACGACAUGGAGGAAAUUAGGAGGAUGCUACGGCAACUUAUGGAACACAUUGCUCGCAUUGAAGCUCGAACCCAGAUAGGUAAGAGUUCUGACGGGGAGGGAUGUGUGAACCCUUAUCUGAACCGAGUAGCUCGCAUCGACACUCUAAGCCGUGAGAGUCUCGACGGGGAGUACGAGGGAGAUAGCCCUUUUCAUUAUUGUGCUCCGCUGUGUGAGUCAAGUGAAGAGGGGCACGGUUAUUCUCAUUGUGUCUUUGAAGGUAUAAAUGAAUUUAGUAAUUUUGGUGCAUCUUGUUAUUCAUCAAAGUUAUUAAAUUUGGAUUUACCUCCAUUAUUUGAUCCUUGCAAUUGUGAAAAUUGCAAUAAAAAUUGUUUGGGUGUUCAAAGCAAUUUUGAUAAGCAAUUUAUUGACCAGAACAGUGAAGAGAUGAGAAUUGAGAAAACUUUCGAAGAUAUUAUUGAUUUUAUGGGCAUUAAUAUUUUCACUUGGAAGGUUGCCAAAAAUCUGGUUGAUUUUGUCAAUCGGUUGAAGAUUCUAGAGAGAAACAUUUGCAUUGCUAGAGGGAGUAAGAAGUCAAGAAUAACGAAAUAUUCCAAAUAUCUUUUUAUUUGGAAAGGAAGGUUUCAAUUGGAUGCUAAAAGAUCCAAAAUUAAUAUGCAGCAAUUGAAGAUUCUACUCGGAUUUUCCUUAAUCAAAGGCUUGAAUUCGAGGACGAAUUCUUUCCAACUAUGGGAGUCUGAUGCAGGAGCAUAGGGGUGGAUCAAGAUAGAUAUUUACUAUUUAAUUUGUUAUUUCAUGAUAUAUUGUUAUUUUCUUAUUUAGGUAGUUUUAUGAUAUCUUUUAUUAUUUAUGUGUGAUUUUAUAAUUAAUUAGUUUACUUUUGGACCAAGUAGCCUUGGUGCUCAAGUCUUGUAAAGCCUAUAAAUAAGGCUAAUGUAAUAGUUGUAGAAUAGAUGUCGAUGAUUAAUAAAAUCGUUUAUUUGUGGCAUGGAUUUGCUACAAUAUAUGUGAGUUUGCACUAACCCUUGAUUUCGGUGCUCGUGUAUGUGGUUGGUGACCUGUGUCCGGAUCCCGAUCCCCAUCAGAGUUCCCCUCCAGCUUUUGAUUCCAACGGUUGAUAGAGUUUAAAUAUUUUCCUGAAAAGAUCAAUAAUAUGUGCCACUGAUCUAAAAGUCUCCAAAUUGUCUUCCAAUUUGUCAACAGGCAAUAGAUGUUCGAAGAAACUGAAAGAAAUACAAAUUAUUGAAAGCCCCUCAGUAAUGCUGUUAUUGUCAGCAUUAGCAGGGAGUGUAAUUUUCUGUGGGUCGAAAAGAUCCUCGAGAAUGAAGAAUGGCAACUGAUUUUCAAGCAACCACGUAUCUGUCCAUGCAUCUUGCAACAUACCUGGUUUGUCAAAUAUGCGGUCAUUUUCGUCCCAAAAUUUGAAGUAGUCCUUCAAUAAGGGCUCAAUAACGAAGGCGGCGCCCACUAGAAUGAUUGUUACAAAUUCAUCACUGCUAAACUUGAUGGGUUCUCCAUAACAACGUCUCAAUCUUGCUUCGUGGUCCUUUAUUUUCUUAAUAUAAUCCUCCAAACUCACAUUGGUCCGACCUAUAAAAUCUUGCAGGUAUCUCUGUUUGUUCUCUUCCAAUACGACAUUCAAGCCUUCCUUUCCAUGGUGAAGUGGACCUAUAGAGACCGACUGCCUGAGGUGUGCAGAGCUUUUCAUUCACACAUACGUAGAUAAAAUGUCUGGGGGCUCAGAGAGUGAUGAAUGUGCAACAGCUAAUGGGAGGGUUUAUAUUCCUGAAGUAAGAAAUGAGGAAACACCAGCAGUUGGGAUGAAGUUUGACUCGCUUGACCUCGUUUACAAUUUCUAUAAUAGAUAUGCAUUCUUGGCUGGCUUUGGUAUUCGACUUCAUUCUAGCUUUUGGGGGAAAAAUAAGAAAGAGAUUUUGAGGAAAGAAUUUGUAUGUUGCAAACAAGGUGCAUACAAGAAGGAUGAAACUCGGGAGAGAAAAAGACAACGGGGAAUAAGUAGAUGCAAUUGCAAAGCAAAGAUUGUGGUUGUGAAGACAAAUGGGAGCAAGAAGUAUACCAUUUCUCUUUUUGCAGAGGGACACAAUCAUAAGAUGACACCCUCAGAAAGAAUGCAUUUAUUGAGAUCACACCGUCAUAUUUCAGAUUCUACAAAAGUACUCACAAAACAGUUGGGUUCAGUUAAUAUUCCCAUUCAUCAGAAGGUAAGUAUAUUCGAGGUGCAAUCCGGAGGAAUGGAUAAAAUCGGUUUUAUCAAAAAAGAUAUCUACAAUCUUGAAUGUAGUGUGAAUGGGAAGCUGAGGAACCACGAUGUUGAACUAGUGACCGAGUAUUUUAUGGCUGAACAGAAAAAAAAUGAGGCUUUUUAUUUCAAGAUUGAGGGAGAUGGGCAUGACAGGUUUAGUCGAUGUUUUUGGGCAGAUGCAACUUCUAGACGGGCGUAUGGGUUUUAUGGAGAUGUUGUUGUAUUCGAUACCACAUUCAACACGAAUCGAUACGACUUGACAUUUGCACCAAUGUUGGGAGUUAAUAACCAUGGUCAGACAAUUGUCUUAGCAUGCGCAUUUUUGAGCAAGGAAACGACUGAGUCGUUUGUUUGGAUGUUUGAGGAGUUUAAGAAAGCCAUGCCAGGUGGGGAACCUAAAACGAUCAUUACAGAUCAAGAUGCGGCAAUGGCCAUAGCGAUUUCAAUAGCCUUCCCGAGUACAUUUCAUCGACUUUGCAUAUGGCACAUCACAUCAAAGUUCUCUGUUAAGUUACCACGUGACGCUUAUAAGGAGUAUUGGCCUGAAUUUCAGAAAGCCAUAUGGGAUACUGACAAUAAGGAUGAGUUUGAUGCAAAAUGGAAUAUUGUGGUUAUAAAGGCUGGUUUGACUGACCAUCCAUGGCUAAGUUCAAUGUUUGAUUUAAGGGAAUCUUGGGUUCCAGCCUACGCACGACAAUUUUUUGCCGCUGGAAUGUCAAGCAGCCAAAGAGCGGAAGGUUCUCAUGGUUUUUUCAAGCAAUACAUAUCAAGGAGAAAUUCGUUGAUGGAUUUCAUAAUACGAUUUGAGAGGGCAUUUUCUCAUCAACGUGAAAAAGAGUUAGUUGCUGAUCACGUAGAUGCAUUUGAAGUGGCUCAAUGUCUUCUACCGAUGCCAAUGAACAAACAAAUGGCUACCUUGUACACAAGGACAAUGUUUCAAAAGUUUGAGCAAGAACUAAUACAAAGUACAGCAUGUUUCCUAGAGCUCAAAACAGAGGAUGCAUGUAAAGUUGUGUUCAACGUGAGCGAAAGGAAAAAUUGGGAAACAAGAGUGGCAGAAGUCGUAUAUGUCAAAGAUUCUGACCACGCAUCGUGUAGCUGCAAAAGAUUUGAAUUUGUUGGAAUUAUUUGCAAGCACAUCCUAGCAUUGUUCAGAAGGGACCAGAUUGAAUAUAUGCCCGAUAAAUAUAUUUUGAAGAGGUGGAAGAAAACUGCGAAAUGUGGAUUGGUGUCAGAUGCAAAUGGCAACGAAAUUAAAGACUGUGCAGAUCCUGGCCUUCUAAUAAAGCGGAGUACAAUGUCUCGACUUGCUUCAAAUGUGGUUGAGGAUGCAUUAAUGAGUGAAGAAGGAUGUGAGCUACUGUCAGAGACUCUAAAAAGUUUGCAGGUGAAGUUGAAGUUGCUGAAGGAUGGACCAAGUAAUAACGAAGUUGGAGGGUCCAGCUCUCAAACACAAUAUAUGAAAGACCCUAAGAGAGUGAGGUGCAAAGGAAGGUCGAAAGGAAUAACGGGAGCAAAGGAAAAGGCAAUGAAGCGAGGGAUUAGACACUGUCGGGAGUGUGGACACAUUGGUCAUGAUAGAAGACAAUGCCCAGCCUUGAACACACCGUAAGAUGCUACCACUAUUUGUAAUAAUAUCUAAAAUAUGAAAAGGUAAAAUUUUUAUGUGCUUGUGUUUGAUGUUUAUGCAGGACAUCACCGUCGAACAAUGACAAAUCAACUCCAAUACAUCGUAGUGACCCAUUAUUCGACGAUUUUGACAAGAUGCACAGACCAACUGAAUGAUUGAUAUUUGUAUUAGACGAAAUGUGGUUGUUAUGAAGAUUAAUGAUCAAGUGAAGUUUUAUAGAUUCAGUUUUUGAAUGUUAUUGUGUUUUUGUUCAUGUCCACCGAUGAGCUCUUACUAUGUCCACUGGUAAUUGAAAUGAAAAUUUUCUUGGUUUCAUUCUUCCAAGACAUUUGGAGACAUGUUAAUUUUACGUCUUCUCCCUAUUUAUAAAUUUUCAUAGACAUUUGAUCAAGUUUGAAAUUUGUAGUUAUGUGAAGAAGCAAUGACUCUUACCAUGUAAAAUGGGCAGUUUAGGGUGAAAUUUGUUUUAACAGAGAUUCAUUUUUCAAUUCCUCAGGGUAAUGCAGCAAUUACAGCAGCCAGCUGUUGUUUCCAUUACCAGUAAUCAUUUCCAGCAGCAGCCACUUUUUCCGACUGGUUAUUAGGGGCACGAUUUUGUACACUUUUGUAAGUGAAGGAUACUCGAAGCACUUUGUUGGAACAGAGCAAAUAGAAACCAGCGGGUAAAAAAAAAACAUAACAUUGCAGCUAAUUACAUUUCGAUACAUAGGUGAAAAAUAUUAAAGGGUACACUAACUUACAUAAAUACUCAUAAUUCCACACACAAAAGAACAUUUGAUUGCAAAACAUAUUAUGUGCUUCCUCAUAGCAAUACCACGAUCUCCCCAACCAACUGAACAACGGUAGCCACAAUCACUGGGUCGUACUCGUCAGCUUCUUCUUAGCAGGUCUCACAUGCUUAUGGCCACUCAUAUCCCUAGUGAUAUACACGAAAUAAAUCUUCAGCAAUAUUUGGAAUUUUAUUAUAUAUAAAUAAACCAUAAACCAUUCAGUAAACAAUGUAUAGCACAUGUUAUGUAACUUAUGACUCACGUGUCAGUUUUUUUUUUAACACAUUAGUACUCCAGCUCUUUAAUGUAAAUGGACAUGAUAAGGAGCAUUUACUGAUUCCCGGCUUUCUAUGAUAUUGACUGCUUCUUGAAUAAUAUUUCCAUAUUUGCAAAAUAUAAUGUUAGACAUUAUAACACAUGAUGACUUGCAAUACAUAGUCCCAAUAAUUAUAUAUCAAGCAAAUGAAACUGAUAUUUGUGUUAUUUUAAGUUAGAUAAUGACAUUAAGGGAGUAUAUGUGCAAUACCACGGUCACCCUCAACCAACUGAACAGCGGUAGCCGCAAUCACUUAGUCGUAUCGGUCGGCUUCUUCCGAGCAGCUUUGACGUGCUUAUGCUCAUUCAUGUCACCCCCAUCGUCUAGUAUCUCUCUCACAGCAUCAGGGGACACAUAGUUCCAAUCAUAACUUGUAUGAGUAGUUGCCGCAAAUGCUCGGAAUUUGUCGAAUCCUUCGUUGAAUGCCAACUCCAGUUCAGUAUGGUGCUCUUCGCAUCGCAUAUGGUUCAUCAAACAACCUUUGAUUUCAUCAUUCAUUACUGUAUCCAACUCCUCAGCUUUCAGCUUCCUGCUAUGACUCAGCUUCAAGUACUUGUUCUUUUGGGAUAACGCUUUGUUCACCCUAAUGUUAAGAUCAGCCAAAAUUGCCUCGUCUUCAACACAUUUCUCGUGCCAUGAAUUGAUCAGUCUGGAAUUAUAAUCCAGCUUGCCACUGACUGCAUGUAUUGCCUGUAAUGGAUCAUCGGAGUCCCCCUCACUCCCAAAUGAUGUUGAAAAAGGAAGGGGUCGGCGAGUACAAUGUGGAAAUAGAACCUGCCACUCCAAUUUGUCAUCUUCGAUUGUGUUGUUGGCGCCUGAAGAGGUUGACAUGCUUGAAUAAUCCUCUUUGUUUUGGGAGGAUGAGGAUUGCAUAUGCAAUUUCGUUUGAGAAAGGGAACAUAGGUUUAUAGACCAACAUACCAAAGCUUGUGUGUAGUCAACAUAUGUACUUUUUGGCGGGAAUUUUUUAAAAAUAGGUGUUAGGUUUUGCUUUUCAAGCAUGUCAACCUCACACUCUCCUGACACCACUGCUAGUGGUUGAAACAAAGUCAAUGGAAGUGACAUCUACUUAGUUAACUCAACCAAACUAGUUAGGAUUAAACUUAGAUUGUAUCAGACCAAAAAAUAAUUUCUACUUUGUCAACCAAAUAUUUUUUGGCGGGAACCCUUUUCUUGGUAUUACUAUCACCCCUUUCAUAUAAAAUCUCCUUCCACACAAAACUCACUCCUCCACCGAAUCUGUCUCCAUCUACCGAUACUCUCUCAAGCAAACAAACUCAUUCCCCCCAAAGAAUGAGCAUAAGCACAACCAAGUUUGAUGUGAGCAUAAUAAACACCCCUCCAAACAAAGACCGGCUUCGACACGCAAGUGAGUCACCGGACAAGCAAUGUCACAUUGCUAGACAGAAUGACCAUUUUGUUGGAAGUUUUGAGUCUGAAAGAGUUGUUGCUUUUUGGAAGGAGAGGCAUCUUCAACUUGGUGAUGAAAUCCAAAGGGCAAGGGCACGUUUGGAAUUUGUGGAAGGCCAAAUUGAAGAUGACAAAAGGCAGGCCAAUCUGGAUAGGGCGAAGUUGUAGCGCAUGAAGCGUAGACACAAACGACUUCGGAGUGUAGCUGUUCAAAAAUACAAGAACUCAUCUAAUGUAGUGGAGUCAAAGAAGCGUGUGAUGCAAGCUGGAUUCGACUACUUCCGAUCCUAUGCAAAACUCGUCGUACCCGGGUUUGAUUGGUCAUCUAUUACCGUUUCCGACGUCACCAAAUAUACUCAGCAAGGGAAGUAACCAUUUUGGUUCUCGUGUUUUAGCAGAGGCAAAUAAGUGGAAUUGGAAUUUUGGUUACACUCUGCUUCAAAGCUAUUUUGAUGCUAACUACUAUGGAAGAUUUAAACCUUAAUAUUUUGAUGUCUUUAAUUACGAAAACAGAAGAUGCAAAGAGCUCAUCUACUUCAGCCAUAUGUUGCUGCCAUGUCCAUUUGUUUUUGAUCACUUAUCAGAUUUGGACAUGGUUGCAUCAUAUGCAAUGUUGCCUUUAUUUAUUAUAUGUUAGGACAAGGUUUAUGGAAAAGCUUUUGUGAGUGCGUUUGUGACAAGGUUAUGGAAUUAUUAUGUACACUUUAUAUAUUGUUUUUUGUACUGGUUCAUUUCCUACUAUUUCUUGCUUUCUUUAUAUUUUAUGUUUGUGGAAUCCCUCUCAAAGUUAACAUAUACUGUGAAAAAAAUAUUAUGCAACUGAUUAUAUAAUCACUCAUAUAGACUAGGACAAAUAUUCACUAAGGGUUUUAAACUUGCUUCACUUGUGUGAUGUUAUUGACAAAAAGUAUGGCAUUAUUUAUGUGAUUUGACAUGAUUGAAAAUAUAUUACUGAUUCCCAAUGCGGCGUCAUAUGGACAACGUAUUGAAUACCUGUGACGUGUUAAUAACUCAAGGUGCAGUUGCAUGUGGACAACUUCUUGAAUACCUCUGACGUGUUGAAAACUCUAGGUGCAGUUGCAUGUGGACAACUUAUUGAAUACGAACUGACGUCUUCAAAGCUCUAGGCGUAGUUGCAAUGAUGGCUUCAAAGCAUGUGCAAUUAUUUUUUAUGUACAUUAUUAUAACAAAACAUAUUAUUGUAUAUAGUGAAACUAAAUAUUGUAUUAUUAGAAAUUAUAUUUCGAAUAUUAUCCGAAAUAUACGUGUUAACGUGAAUUUGGGUUAAGAGGAAAGUGAGUUAUGUACAAAUAAUUUUCAUUUUCUCAUUUUCCGGGCAUUUUUUGGAUUUUCGUAGAAUUUAUUACCUAUGUCCACAGAUUGUUGCACUAAAAAAGCCAAAAUAAUAGCAAGAGGACACCUGGAGCGAUCUCAGCCCGUCACUGAUGACUACUUGCACAAGUGUACGUCAGUCAACAUGGCCACACCCUCCCAUUUUACCCUAAAUUAUUAUUUUAUUACUUUUCCUUACAAAAAUCAGAACUAAUUACACACAAAAUAAAAAAAUUAUCCGAAAAUUGCUACGAACUCAUUGACACUCCAUCUCCGUUGCUGAAUUCUCCGAUUCAUUGUUACGUAUUUGUAAAAUUAAUUCCCAACAUUAACGGGAGAUGCUUGUUGAAGUAGGUUAUUCAAGUUGAAGUUAACAAACAUCAAUACUUAGGGUUAAGAGGAAAGUGAGUUAUGUAACACAAUUUGGAUUAUUUCAUUGCGAGACGAAUGAUUUAUAGGUUCUCCUAGUUUUAUGACGUCACAAGUAGGCCGGAGUAAUUUUUGGGGCAUUUUUACGAUUUUCCUACUAUUUUUUACCUAGUUUCAAAGAUUUUUGAACAAAAGAAUCCAAAAUGUAAAAGAAGAUGACACCUGGCGCGAUCUCAGCCCGUCACUUUUCACUACUUGCACAAGUGUACGUCAGUCAACAUGGCCACAUCCUCUCAUUUUACCCUAAAUUAUUAUUUUAUUACGUUUUGUCUUGGAAAAUUCAUAACUAAAUACACAAAAAUUCAAAAUUAUUUCUGAAAAUUGCUACGAACUCAUUGACACUCCAUCUCCGUUGCUGAAUUCUCCGAUUCAUUGUUACGCAUUUUUAAAAUUAAUUCCCAACAUUAACGGGAGAUGCUUGUUGAAGUAGGUUAUUCAAGUUGAAGUUAACAAACAUCAAUACUUAGGGUUAAGAGGAAAGUGAGUUAUGUAACACAAUUUGGAUUAUUUCAUUGUGAGACGAAUGAUUUAUAGGUUCUCCUAGUUUUAUGACGUCACAAGUAGGCCGGAGUAAUUUUUGGGCCAUUUUUACGAUUUUCCUACUAUUUAUUACCUAGUUUCAAAGAUUUUUGAACAAAAGAAUCCAAAAUUAACAAGAAUAUGACACCUGGCGCGAUCUCAGCCAGUCACUUUUGACUACUUGCACAAGUGUACGUUACCGAACAUGGCCACAUCCUCCCAUUUUACCCUAAAUUAUUAUUUUAUUACCUUUUUUCUUGGAAAAUUCAUAACUAAAUACACAAAAAUUAGAAAAACGAUCCGAAAAUUUCUACGAACUUAUUGCGAUUUCAUCUUCCUACUGCAUUCCCUGUUUAAUGGUUAUGCUACAUUAGUAUUUUAUUAUUAUUUAUCCACAAUUAUUAUAAUUAUUAUGAUAUUACUUUUUAGGCUGUCCAUUUGUUAAUUAUACCACAUCCAACUUGUUGAAAACAAUUUUAUUUUCCGUGCGAAUAGGCCAUUUGUAGUGCUUAUCGGUUUCUCUGUUCUUCAAUUUGUUAAUUUUUUUAUUUUUUAGGUUGAAGGGAUGUUUUGAAACAUAAUAUGGAAAUAUACAAGUCAUCCAUUGUACUCCUUCCACACAAAAAAAUAGUCUACGUCAUUCACUGUUCAACACCCUAGGUUAAGACACGUGUAACCAAAUCCGUUCGGAUAUGCUAAGUGGGAAAAUGUCAUUCCCAAGCACUGGUGAAAAGACACUUAUUUACUCCAUGCAUGACUUUUGGUUUACCAAAUAUGAAGAUUGGGGUCGGUGAGCAAAAUAUCUGUGUCAGUAAAAUGUCAUUCCUAGCCAUCUAUGAUGUAAGUAAUAAUUCCGCUAUAUAAUAAAUAUUAUACAUUUAUAUAUAAAACGGUUUAUGACAAAAUACCAACAUUUGAACAACAUUUAAACUGAGAUAGGUAUAACGUAGCCAGCCAACCUAGAAGUGAAGAGAAGCAAGUCCACAAUGCAUCAAAACUGUAAAUUCGUACUAAAACUAAUGCAAAAAUACGUGAUUCCCUCGCACAACUUACUCACGCAGGAUUUUGCACCAAAAAAUACUCUCACGGUGCCAUUUGCAUCGGUUGCAGCAAGUCCAAAACGCAGGAUUUAUCUUGUCUUCACUAGGCCACCCUGGAAUAACAAAAUACCAUUCAUUGUUGUUACAAGCGCUGCACCGAUUGAACUUAAUCUUCCCAUAGUCAAACAUAUCUACGAUAUGUCUUGCAACAAAUGCUCCGCGACAUCUUCCUGUUAAAGCAUCCCUGGUUCCUUUCAUAUCAAUGUUGUUACGUUGAUUCAAAGAACACAAGAAUUGUAAUGCAUCCUCUUUUGACUGACCAAUUCCGGACAUACCAAGUAGUCCAACUACAUAUGCCGCUUCCAUAUGGCCUGCCGUGGCUGCAAUGCGCAUCCCAUACAACGCUUCCACCUUACCGUCUGUGAAAAAACCUUCGAAUGCUUCUCUAAAUAUGGACUCAGGGUUAUCGCAAGCCCUGCAUUGUUGCAAGAAAUGCUGGACUGCAGGUUUGGCACGGUAGCAGAUAGGAUGGUGUGGGUACUUUGCCAUUGAAAUGGUGUUCCACACUUGUGGACUGUUUGCCAAAAUGUUGAACAAUCGGCACACACAUGCCAUACGGAAGAGAUCUUCCGAUGAUUCGGUUGCCACGUAUAACAUCACUUGAAACCAAGCGGACUCCGGGAUAAAGGCUUCGGGCAUAUCGAAAUGGAGAUGCUUCCUUCUCUUUCCUCCGACUGUAGUGAAGUGUUUCGAAUUCAUUGAAAAGUUUUUGGAAUGGAACGAUUUGAGGAGUGGCAGAGGGGAUAAAUGAUAAUAUUUGGGGUACACGUUCUACUUCCGAGCCUCUGUUUAUAGUGUUUUGAAAAGGUGUUUCCAGUUGGGGUUUUUCCAAGUUGACCCUUUUGAAAGAAACUGAAUCCAAGUGAAUUAAAACUUAAGACAAAAGAAGGGAAAACGUCAUAACGGUGCAUACAGAGUCAGACAGUUAAAAAGUUAAUUAAAUGGCUAUUUGCAUAGCCAUUUUUGGGUUUAUCCCACUAUCAAAUUCAUUGAUACAAAUGUGAUGGAUUACUGACUAGUGACAGAAGGUCCCAUCAUAUACUUUUUCAUUUUCGCACACCCAACUAUCCCUAGUAAUGUUAUUAAAAUGGAACCAAUAAUGACGGAUUCUUAUCCAACUAGUUGCCUUAAUGAAAUAUAAAUAAAUUAAUAAAAUUGAAGCAGUGUCCCGUCAUUAGUCAGAAAAUAUAUUUGGUAGUGAAGUAGUUUCUAUUGCUUUUCGGGCUAAAAGAUGUCACAAUGCUGACGGUACAGGUGUCGACAUCGUGACCAACCCACCAAAUGAUCCCAAAAAAAAGUAAUAUAACUCGAUUUGGGCAGAGAUGAGAGAGAGCUGAGUGACAAGUUUAGGGUUAUGAGUGAAGGGGUAUGAAUGACAACUAUGAGUGAGAAGGUAUGAGUCCGAAGAGGUUUCAGUGAGAAGAUUUGAGUGAGAAGAGGUACAACUGAGAAGAUUCAACAUGUCUUCGUCUUCAUCUCCUGCUCAAACAAAGAGGUGUCAGUAUUGUGGAGCUACAAUGGUGCUUCGGGUUUCAAAAUCUGAAAAAAAAUCGAGGGAAGCCAUUCUGGAAGUGUCUAACCUCCUAUGUAAGUUUUAAUUUAAAGAAUAUGUAUGUGGGUGAAAAAAAACCUAUGUCUAACUCUGACAGAAUUAUAUUCCAUAUAUGAUGCCUGCAAUUAGGGAGCCACCAGUUGCAAUGGAUUCGAAUGGGUUGAUGUAACCUCCGCUGAAGCAGAACAUCAAGAUGACACGUAUGAUGUUAGAGUGCUGAACAUGCUGAAGUCCAUUAAGGACUUGGUAUUAGUUUUAUUAGUUGUAUUAAUUGUCAUUUUAUUUGUUCUUUUAAUGAUCAUUUAACUGCACGGUUUAAAAGAUUGUGAAAGUUCUCUCGCACAAGACAUAUUGCACGCACCACCAAUGAGACCCUAAACCCAUUUUGUAAUAUUUGGUAACUGCAUGUAUUUCGCAUGUUAUUGAAUGUUUAUUGAAGGUUUAUUGAUAGUUUGCUGCAUGUAUAUGGAAUAUCAUUGCCCCAAAAUUGGAUGUUUAUUGGGGCCACAAGUAUCACUCAAGUAAGAAUGAAGGGGAGAAACGGACCUUAUUCUUUCUUAUAGUAGGAAGAACAACUGUUAAGUUUAAUAUCCUAUUCAAUACGACUUCCCUAUGGUUGGUGUACUUGGGGACUGAAGUAUAUUGCAUCAUUAUUGUGGGCAAGGGCAUGUCUAUUGUGUGUGUUAAGGGAGUAUUGUGUGGGCAAGGGCAUGUCUACUGUGUGUAUAUUGCAUGUCUACUGUGUGUAUAUUGCAUAUCUAUUCUCUGUAUAUGGCAGGCCAAGUUUGUGUAUAUUGUUUGUCUGUUGUGUGUGUAUUGCUUGUCGGUGCGUUUGUGAAUUGUGGUUCAUUUUGUGUAUAUUGUCUUUGUUUCUACUUUUAUGCUACUGAGCUGCGGAAAACCUCGCAUGUUUAGACACCUAUUAUGAUGCAACACAUUGCGAUUAAUGGUGGCUUGCAUCAACAAUGACAUAUCACUUUGCAAUGAUGUAAUACACUUAAAAAGCCGUCUUCAAAUCCCAAUUCACAUAUGCAGUCUUAAAAUUCUAAUUCAAUGCAGUUUGGUUAACAAACAUGUAAAUGUCAUGAAGGAGUUAGCGGUAGAAUUCGAUAAGGACCCGUACGUCUCUAUUGUGUAUUUACAUUAGUUUGAGAAUGGACAUUCCCAAAACCUUCUCAUGUACCAUUUGUCAUCUUCAACCAAUAUCAUGGGAAGUAAGCAUCUCCCCUUGUUAUCUCCGCAGCCAAUUUCAACCGAAAAAAAGGCAUGUUGUGCGAGGUGCAAGUAGCUAACGGAAGCUUAGCGCUGAAAAGCUCAAUGUACUUUAACACAAACAUGCCACAAUCGCCUCUGAAGCAAAACAAGAACUCGAUCAAUUCAACUAAUGACAUUCUAAUGUAAUUGACAAUUGAAAGUAAUAAAAUUAAAUUGCAAGUUGUGCUUACUCAUUAGACUGUUGUGGAACAUCCACACGCUCUAUUGGCCACGGACACCACCAAUCUCGGCUGCAAUUGUUUGCAUAAACACCUUCUUCAUAAAAGUCGAUGGUGUUGAGAAGAUUUGGAAGCGUAAUUGAUAGCGGGCCGAGUUCUUCCUUUACGAUGUCAUCUGGAAUUAGUGAAACCUUUGAAUCGUACACUUUGAUUCACACAAUACCAGAUCAAACANNNNNNNNNNNNNNNNNNNNNNNNNNNNNNNNNNNNNNNNNNNNNNNNNNNNNNNNNNNNNNNNNNNNNNNNNNNNNNNNNNNNNNNNNNNNNNNNNNNNNNNNNNNNNNNNNNNNNNNNNNNNNNNNNNNNNNNNNNNNNNNNNNNNNNNNNNNNNNNNNNNNNNNNNNNNNNNNNNNNNNNNNNNNNNNNNNNNNNNNNNNNNNNNNNNNNNNNNNNNNNNNNNNNNNNNNNNNNNNNNNNNNNNNNNNNNNNNNNNNNNNNNNNNNNNNNNNNNNNNNNNNNNNNNNNNNNNNNNNNNNNNNNNNNNNNNNNNNNNNNNNNNNNNNNNNNNNNNNNNNNNNNNNNNNNNNNNNNNNNNNNNNNNNNNNNNNNNNNNNNNNNNNNNNNNNNNNNNNNNNNNNNNNNNNNNNNNNNNNNNNNNNNNNNNNNNNNNNNNNNNNNNNNNNNNNNNNNNNNNNNNNNNNNNNNNNNNNNNNNNNNNNNNNNNNNNNNNNNNNNNNNNNNNNNNNNNNNNNNNNNNNNNNNNNNNNNNNNNNNNNNNNNNNNNNNNNNNNNNNNNNNNNNNNNNNNNNNNNNNNNNNNNNNNNNNNNNNNNNNNNNNNNNNNNNNNNNNNNNNNNNNNNNNNNNNNNNNNNNNNNNNNNNNNNNNNNNNNNNNNNNNNNNNNNNNNNNNNNNNNNNNNNNNNNNNNNNNNNNNNNNNNNNNNNNNNNNNNNNNNNNNNNNNNNNNNNNNNNNNNNNNNNNNNNNNNNNNNNNNNNNNNNNNNNNNNNNNNNNNNNNNNNNNNNNNNNNNNNNNNNNNNNNNNNNNNNNNNNNNNNNNNNNNNNNNNNNNNNNNNNNNNNNNNNNNNNNNNNNNNNNNNNNNNNNNNNNNNNNNNNNNNNNNNNNNNNNNNNNNNNNNNNNNNNNNNNNNNNNNNNNNNNNNNNNNNNNNNNNNNNNNNNNNNNNNNNNNNNNNNNNNNNNNNNNNNNNNNNNNNNNNNNNNNNNNNNNNNNNNNNNNNNNNNNNNNNNNNNNNNNNNNNNNNNNNNNNNNNNNNNNNNNNNNNNNNNNNNNNNNNNNNNNNNNNNNNNNNNNNNNNNNNNNNNNNNNNNNNNNNNNNNNNNNNNNNNNNNNNNNNNNNNNNNNNNNNNNNNNNNNNNNNNNNNNNNNNNNNNNNNNNNNNNNNNNNNNNNNNNNNNNNNNNNNNNNNNNNUUUUCCUCUCCCUCAUCUCUAUUAUUUGGCCCUUCACCCCCUUCAAUCCCUUCAUCUUCUUUUUCCUCUCCCUCAUUUCUGUUACUUGGCCCUUCAUCCCAUUGAAUGUCAUCCAUUUCCCCAUAUCCCUUAAAUAGAUGUGAGACGACACAACGAUUCGUCCUCUGUUUCAGUAAAGCUAGGUCCCUCCUUACUUCCUGCUCAAACUGAGGACCUAAACAUUGGUCCAAUAGUUUUUCCAUCCGUAUGACCUUUAAGUGAAGGACGUCUUUUUCCCGCUUUUCUUGAAACAACUCGGACCUCAACAAGCUUACCACCUUGUUCAACUCAUCAAGAUCACCACAUGAAGAAGGAAUUGACUCUGCCGAGACAACAGCAGGGCGAUCCUGUGGCCAACUCCAAUAUGGCUGUCUCAUUUCCUCUUCACUUAGACAUAGCGCCCGCAACUGAACUGACUGUUUCAGAAUACAGACAAGAGUCAUAUUAAAUCAUUCUACUUCAUAAUUUCAUUCAAUCUUAUCAAUAGUUCUAAGGGCUGCAAACCAAACCUCUUUGCUCUGGAAAAAAUAAUUGUUCAACUUUCUCAUCUCUGGAACAGACGUAGUAGUUCUCCAUCGCAAAAUACGCGGGACAGCGGUCGGAUCAACAACCUUGCAGUAAUUCAGGUCCGCCAUUCUAGGAAUUAAUUCAUAUACCCAAAUCUACACAAUUCACAGGACAAAAGUCAUUAUUUAUGUUUUAAAGAAAAACAAAACAUAACUGACAUGAACAUUAUUACCAUGUACCUGGAAAGCAUACGUGAAACCUUUAAAACUCCAGCCACUCCUUUGCGCUUCACUAUGCUUAUCCUUCUUGCCCUUCUCAUUUCUCCGGCUUGUUCCCGUUACCUUACUUUUCCCCUUCCCUCUUCCCUCUUCAUUUUCCAAGCUUUUCACAUACUUUGUUGGUGCAGAAAAUAGACUGUCUUGGGUUUUGUCAAAGGACACCGAACCCCACGGAUACCUGUUGAACGCAUCCAAGUCCUCUACAAGGGUCAGGUAAUUUAGAUUGAUGUUCAAAUGUUUGUCCCUUCCCAAAACCACUAACUCAGCAAAGUAAACAAGAGGUAGCUUGAAGAUGUCAUCUUCCUCUGUGCACCUCACAAAUGCUUCUUCUAAAGCAUUGCAUGUAAUUCCUUCGUCUAUAAAAUAUCUUUUCUGAAGUCUGAUUUCAUUACUCUCUCCACUGGAAACUUCAGGCACUUCCCCAAAACGAAGCCCUGUGAUCAAACAGAAAUCCUGACGAGUGAACUGAGCAACGUCACACCCUAAUAAGAAACUCAGUCCAUCCAAGUCUUUCACACCCUGCCCCGCUACUCUACGCAACACAACCCCAUGCACAAUCUGUCCGCUAAACUGAAUCUUAUCUAUAUUCAGAAGAUGGCCAAAGCAUGAUGUCUUGAAUUGUUCUAAUUGUUCCGCACUCAACUUCGCUCGAAUUGCAGCUAGAGAUGAAUUUGCAUGUGAGCAGUUGUUCACCCGUGAUGAAUAUACCUCUGCCUCUGGCCAUACCAGCUCCACGUUGGAUCCCAUUUCCUCAAAUACAAUGUGAAAUAACGUGAACAUAUAUACUACCACGUAUUUGCACAAUCACAACUAGUCAACCAGGCACAUUACAACUUUUACAAAGUACAUGAGCAUAUGGAUUACUCAUCACAGGCUUUAACAUCAUCAAAGCAAUAUGACAAUUUUUGUGCAAAUACCUGUUAAUGCAAUGAUUAUGUGAAUUACAAACAAUUUCACGUGUUUUAUUUAUGGAUCCAUACUCGUGUGAGUGCAAUGUAGGCAAGUUCUGCACUUCACACACAUGACAAUUAUUGUCAUCUCAUACACAACCCAAAAUAAAUAAAUAAGAAAUAUAGUGGAAGGAAGCAAAGCAAAGCAUGUACUCUGCUAUCUGCUUGCUAAGCAAUUGCCACAUCCUUCUUUCUUUCUACCUUUUUCUUCAGUCACCCACAAUCGUCAUAGAUCAACCUUCAUUUCAAAUGCUUUGCACUUUUAUUCAUGAGUUUAUUAUUAUCUGUUCUCAUUUCUCAUAGGCAAAUUUAGUAACAAAUGAAAUAAUAUUUAUUUCACAAAAUAUAUAAAUUCUAGUGCCAGAGAGGUACUCUUCACUCUGCACUGCUUCAAAUGUGGAAGGUUUUGAGAUGUUAUUGACAUGUGAUUGACUUUAUUUUCAUUCGUUUUUUAACAUAUACCCAAGCAAAAAUUAACAUGCAAUUGAAGCACAAAUAAGAGAUGCCAAAUCCAACAACAUUGAUGGUACAAAUUGGGGAAAACCAUUACUCUAACCCUAAACUCAAAUUCCUUACAUUACUCAUCAAAUGCUUUGCAGUUCUAUUCAUGAGUUUAUUAUUAUCUGUUCAAAUGUUUCUCAGGCAAAUUUAGUAACAAAGGAAAUCAUAUUUACUUCAUAAAAUAUAUAUAUAUAUAUAUAUAUUCUAGCGCCUCUUCUUAAUCUGCACUAUGCACUGCUUCAAAUGUGGAAGGUUUUGAGGGCCUCCUCCAAUUCAACACCAUUAUCUUAUUCAUAUCAUUAUUGACAUGUUAUUCACUUGUUAUUGACUUCAUUUUCAUUCUUUUUUUAACAUAUACCUAAGCAAAAAUUAACAUGCAACUGAAGCACAACGAAGAGAUGCCAAAUCCAACAAAAUUUAUGGUACAAAUUGGGGAAAACCAUUACUCUAACCCUAAACUCAAAUUCCAUAAAUUACUCACCAAAUGCUGGUUAUUGCAAGGUGUCUGUGUGGGGUCUUUCUGUUUCUUUGCUCCACAAAUGGAACCUACCACUUCCAACGAAUACAGCUUUUCCCCUUCCCCUUCCACUGCUUCGCCUCUUCACUGAUUUGGAAUCCACACCUUUGCCCCUUCUACUCCAAAUAAAUACUUUCUCGGGGUCUGGAGAACGGAGUGGCGAAUCGUUGCCUUCAACUGUCGUUAGCCGUUGCCUUCAUUGGGUAUCUCAGACCUCUGUGUUUUAGAGAGAUGAGUUCUUUCUGUUCAAACUUCGAACUUGCCUCUUCUUCUUCUUUUUCGGACGUGUUUCCCUCUUCUUCUUCUUUUUGGACGUGCUGGAUAUUCAAUUCGGGUUUGGGUUCCUUACCUACCCAAUUGUGAAACUUUAACUCAAUUCUCCCCAGCCCUUGGAUUAAUCUGAUGGCUAUAAAGUGAACCCCUUAUAACUUACCCCUUAUAACUUUCCACUCAUUAUAGUCUUGGCCAGGUAUGGCGGCCAUGCUAGUAAGUGUUGGGUCUUUGACCCAACUUAAGCUAAAUGGGUCAUAAGAUGACCGAUCAUCUUAUCUCAUAAGGAUAUAUAAGUCAUGUUAUGAUUUAGGAUUUUAUAGGGUUUCCUUUGUAAGAGGUAAGAGAGAAACAAGCUCUCUCUCUCUCUACACAAGGAGGUCAGCCAUAGCAAGGGAAAGGCUCCUAGCACUCUCCUCUCUCUUAUUAUAUCAUCCUUCCAAGGACAGCUUUGGUAUGGUAAAGUUGGAGGUUGCACACUUUGUGCACUUUGGUAAGAACUCAUCCAAGGGAGCCAAGAUUAAAUUGGUUAGCUGUUGGAUUAAAUUGGUUAGCACGAUUCAACGGUUAAUAGAUAAAACUUCACAUAAAAGUCAUAUAUAAGGCCCUCACUAUAGAAUGACUCGUUAGUUUAGUCUCUUGUUACAUAUCAAAUGUUAGAGAUAUUUUUUAAUAAGGAUCUGCCAUACCACAUAGUUGGAUAAGACAUUAUACACGGCUUUUGUAAGAGCAUCUCCAGCGCUCCAAACUAGCCCAAGCAGCAGGGGGGCCUAAGUCUAGGAAGCAGCUCCAGCUCGCAAGAUUCAACCCAGGCAAGGUGUGGAACCCACGAGGAGAUCUAGCCCGUCACCUUGCCUUUGGGUUUCAGUCAAGCUGAUGUCAACGAAAGAAUUUCAAAUUUUUUUUACCGUUACAAUGUACGCGCCAACGAUAAAUUUUCUUUGGAUUUCUUGCAUUGAUCCACAGCUACCAAAAACCAACAGCUACAAGCCACGUGGCUUCUCCAGGAGCCUCCGAUCCAAAAAUCAUGUCAAAUCUAACGGCAGUCCAUUUUUUGGCUAAAAAUAUCAAAAAAUUAUGGAAACAUGUUCUAUAAAUUCCUACAAAUAUUAUUCACUUCCCACACCAAAUCUUCAUACAAAUUCAUAUCCUUUCAAUAUUUUUCACUUUCCAUACAAGAUUUUCUACUACUAAGUUUCGUUUGUGUAAAAAUACAAAUGACCUCUUCUAUCGAAGCCGGAGGCGCGUGUACAACCGUGGAAGAUAUUUUGUUGCGUGAGUGUUGGGUCAAAGUUGGUCAUUCCCUGAUCACGGGCAAUGAGAUGAAGUCCUCUCGUAGGAGUUUCUGACAUCGCAACGAAAGUAAGAUGUGAUAUGAAAAUGUAAGGAAUUUGAUGAGAGGAAUGGGAUUUGAGGAGUUUGAUGUAGGAAUUGAUGUAGGAAUUGAAUUUGGGAGGUAUGUAUAUAAGAUUUGAGGGUAUGUGUUUAGGGAUUUUGAUAAGAGGAUUUGAGGAAUUUAGAUUUGAAGGAUUUGGAUUUGGGGAAUUUAAAUAUGAGGAAUUUGAUUAGGGUUUGGGUUUGAAUAUGUGAAAUUUGAUAUGAGAGUUUAGAGACAACAGAUGAUCGAUUGCUCUGAUACCAUGCUAAAAUAUGAUAUGGUUUGAAUACUUUAGGUUGAGUUUUAUUCUUUUCCAUAAAAAGGUAUAUAUAGGAGUUUACAUGAGUGCUUUACAAAGAAAUAGAUACAAUAAUCAAUUAGGAUAAUAUCUCCUAAUUAUACAAUAAUUUGUCAACUAUAUAGAAUAGGAAAGUAAAUUCCUUAAUUAAUCAAGAAAAUAAAUCUCAUUGAUUAAUUAGGAGACUAACGUCAACAUUUAUAAGCCAUAAAAGAGCAGAAAAAGAGGUACUUAGGAGAUUUUAUACGUCGGACUAAGGUAAGCUUAAAGGACUAUAUCAAAAAAAUAAGGGACCAAGAAGCAAGACAGAGAAGUUGUUAUGCAAACCCAUUAAGUUUAGCAGUGAUGAAUUUGUAAAAAUCAUUCUAGUGGAUUCUGCCUUCACUAUUGAGUUCUUAUUGAGGUUCUAUCUGAAAGGAUCUGGACAUGAAGGAGACCGCUUAUUAAACAAACCGUGGAUGUUUACAGCCUGACAUGUGGUUGCUUGAAAAUCAGCUCCCAUUCUUUAUUCUUGAGGAUCUUUAUCACACAUACAUAAUAACCGACUCUUUUAGGAAUUAUUACAGUACUCAUGAUCAUGAGAGGCUUUCAAUAAUUAAUAUUUCUAAGAAUUUCUUCACAGCCGGAAUAUUGAAUUUGGAGGGGAAGGGAGACAAAUGGAACAGAAUAUCAUCUUCUUCUAGUGUUGGAAAUUUUAUAUUAUUUAAUAAUAUUUAAUUUCUAUUGUGAAUGAAAAAUAAGUUUCUUUAAGAAACGUGUGUCUUAGGCCAGUUUUUCUAACUGGUCGGCUUCCUUAGAUUUGUGCCUAUUGCUUUUCAAAGUAUAAUGAUGCAAUGGUUGUAUCUCGUUCAGGCAAAUGGAAGGUAUAUAGCAAUUUAUAGAACAAUACAGUAAUCCAGAAGAAAUAUUAUGAAAUGAAAAGAAUAAAAAGUAAAAAAAGAGAAAGAAAGGAAUUCCCACCUGCAAUGUAUAUGUAUGAAAGGAAGGACCAAGUUUGUUUUAAAAUGGUAAGAACAAGUUGAUUUUAAAUUGGGUUCAGAUCAACUCAUAGAUUUCUUGCCUUUUCUGUUCUCCUUCCUUGGACAUGAACUGUUUAAUCUUGGACUCUUCCCCAUCAUGUUGGGCCUGUCUUCUUCUUGAGGAUUGUAUAGGCCUAGGAAAUGCUUCGGGGUAGUUUUUGUGUUUUGGGCAUUGGGACCCAACUUCACAAAAAGAAAACAAAUUUGACCAAAACACAAAUUUGAAGGACAUUGAAAUUGUACCCGUAGGAUAGAUUAAAACACUAUAAGGGAGGUAAAUAGUACGUUUACAGAGUUUAAGUGUAAUAAAGGAAUAAAAACAUGCCCAGAGAAUUGAUAAGUGAUAUCAAUUCUUGAAUAUACGUGAAAAUUAUUUUAUGUGGUUAAACCCCACCUCUGGGGAAAAUCCACGGAACUUCUUAGUCCAACUUCUAUCACUUAUCCUAGACACAUUCUAGAUAAUGUUUGCCAACCUCUUCGUAACUCAACUUCUGUCACGAGAUGAUCUUUCAACACUUUAUGUCGAACGCAAUACUGGUCACGAUUUCUUCAAGCUCGCCGGAGUUCUUCCAAUUCUCCUUAUAUUGAAUCUGAUACUAGUCACGAUCGAUUCAAGCUCAUCGGAGAAAAAUCGCCACAACAAUCUUGGUGCCCUCAACCGUAUGAGUCACUGAACAUGCAAAUGAAUACAAUAUGAAUGAUAAAAGUGUUUGAUAAAUCACCAAGUUAUGGAACACUUGAUGAUUUAUCUCAAAUAAAAAUUCAGCUUUCCAAAGUUUAUGAAUUGAAAAUAUGACCGUUAAAGCUCUCUAAACAAAGAAGACGAAGGUCUUAUUUUAUAGACUUUUACUUUACAAGAAAGAAAACACGUUGAAAACCAAAUCUCCAAUUUCCAAGGCUUGACAGAAAAUCACAAAAUUAUCUUUCCUAUUCUAGAGAUUGGUCACAUGAAGUCCAACCAAUAGGAAAUGAGAUAUUUAAGAAAGGAAGAUUUUGAUCAAUAUCAAUAUCAAAUGAAUUCUUAUACGCCUAGUCAAUUGUUAUGGGUAUCUUGACUCCUUGAUAUUGUGAUAUGAUUGAAACAUGAUUUCCACGUUAGAAAAUUAAGGGGAUGUUAAAACAUGAAGGUAAUAGGAGAAUCAAAUUGAUUUGGGCCAAAAUUGCCUAAAAAGAAAACACUCCUUAAUAAACUUCAAUUUACUUUUAAAAAUAGUAAAACGUGAUUGAAUCGUUCUUUAAAACAAUUCCCUAAUAUACAUGCAUGAUAGUGAUAUCACUUACCUUUGAAUCAGAUGGCUUUCACGGGUCAAGCCACAAGUUUUUGUCUUGGGGAUUGCUGAGCUUCAUCAAUCCUGCCAAUGUCAAUUUUGCCCCUAAGCUCUCUCAAAGCACGUUUACAACCUAUGCUAACAUAUAUUAGAGUUUAUGUUAGUAUCAAGAAAAUGCCAACACUAAUUUCGUAACACGUAGAAAUUGUUAGAGAUUGAAGUUUUUAUCAUUUUUUCUUCCAGACUCUCCACCACUCACUAAUAUAGUUUACUCAUGUGAUGAGUUUACAAAACCUAUUUCUCUACUCUCACAAAGACUAUACUUAGGGGGGUGUAUUCAAUUAGGAUUCUAAAGCGUUUAAAAAGAUUUUGUUUAAGUGCCAGCUUUCAUAGAACUUGAUGGAACUUUAUAAUUCGUAUAGAACUUGAUAGACUUUCAGAAGACUUCUGUAUAAUUUUUUAAUAAAACUUUCUUAAGCUUUCAUAGAACUUGAUAGGCUUUCAUUCCAAACUUAUGUAGAUGGUAUAUUUCAUUUUAUCCCCAUCCUUGACAUUUAAAGAAAGAAACUUGAAUUUUUUCAAUCAAAUUUGUUUUUGUUACCAAAGCAGCAAAAACAAAAAGUACUUGUUUGCGAUGGAAGAACAUAUGCACAGUUCAAAAUGAAAAGAAUAAGAAGCAAAGUACCUAUUUGACCAAUGAAUGCUGUGUCAACUAGAGAAGCAAUUGGAUCGGCUGUCAAAGCCAAUGCUGCAGGCAAUGCAUCGAUGGUCCAAAUUGCAAUAAAAAAAUAUUUUGAAUAAUGGCUCUUGCAGACAAAGACCACAUAAAUUCUGAACUGGUCUAGCUUGAAUAAUAAGGUUAGAUUAGCCAAUUGAUGAGAUUAAAAGCAAAGCAAGUUGAUGAAUUUAUCAUCAACUAUUUAAUAACCACAGUCCUGAUCUCUUGGACCCCUGUAGUCCAAGAGAUUUAUGGUCACCCACCGUUGGAUGUAAAUUCAACGGUUGACUUGAAUCGGGUAAUAAUCAUUUAUGUCAUAUUGCAUUUAUAUAUAUCAUUUUGAACCAUUGGAUUAAUAUCCAACGGUGGGUGACCACAAUCUCUUGGACUCCUGUGGUCCAAGAGAUCGGGACUGUUAAUAACCAAUAGAGUAUUUAAACAUAAACAACAAUGUUUGAUCAACAAAACAAAUAGUCCAAAUAUCAUCCAAAAAACAAUAACAAAAAAUCAAUCAUUCCAAACAAACUAGUCAUUCUCAAAAACUCUCAAAAAACCCACUCAUUCCAAAUUGUAGGAUAUCCAAUUUGAGCACUCCUCAGGAGACAUUUUCAAAAAUGCAUCCUUUUUUGUGUUACUAUGCAACAAAGAGAGUGCUUUAUAACGAGCAUGUUCAUCCAAAUUUGGGGUCUCCUUAAUGGCAUCCCAUAUAUAACUCCGCUGCUCUCUCUCUUUUUCCCUUUUUGCCAAUAGGUUAUGGACCUCCCGGAAGUCGAUGACAAUUGAAUCAAUGCUAAGGCUAAUUCUUCCCAUAGCUUGCUGGGUGGUCACAUUUGAGAUAGCAUUCCCUUCCAAAUAUGUUCUAGUUCGUUUCCUCUAGUAACAAGCAUAAAUCCUAGUAACAAGCAUAAACCCUAACCCCAACCUAUAACCUAAUAACAAGAAGAAAACCCAACGAGGUAUUGAUCAAAGAAAAAUUAGGGAGCAUACCUUCACAGAUGGAGGAAGGAAGCUGUUCGUCUUCGCAGAGAGAAAAUCUAGGGAAAGAGAAAAACGUCUUAUGAAAUACUUGGGGGGGAGGUUGGAUUUAUUUUGGUCUUUUUUAUUUAUAACUCUCCCCUUAAAACCUACGUAAAUUUAUCACUUAAUGAAAUCCUUCCAAAUAUAUGACCUUUCGAAUACACCUAGAUUUGAUUCAACUUUUUUAUAAUCAUAAUUGAAUACACCCAUAUUUGAAUGGACUUUUUAAAAGUUCAUAUAGGUCCGAAAUGAAUAUACUCAAACUUGUAAAACCUCUUUUAAAGUUUGUAUAAAUCCAAAUUGAAUACACCUGGAUUUUUAAAAUCUUUUUAAACACUUUAUAAUCCUAAUUGAAUACACCCCCCUUAUUCUCAAAAGACUAUAUUACUUUACCUCUAUCUCUGUGAAAUGUAAAAAGUUGAAACUUUAAUGUCAAACCUCAACAAAAGAUGAACUUUCAUCAGUUACGUUGAAUUUGGAUUUGUUGAACUUAAGUGGUUUUAUUUUCUUUGUCAGUGUUUGAUGACUUAAUUUGGUAUUUAUUUCUUCUUUUUUUUCCUUGGAAAUGUGUUCCACCAACGUGAGGAAGAAAAAUAUGCACAAAUUAAUAUAUUUAAUAGAAGCCCAAGAUUUCGGAUGCAUAUAAUUUCUACAAAAAUCUACAAAGUUUUUUACUUUACAAACUUCUUAUGUCUACCAAUUUCUACUAAAAUUAAUUUCUCUGUGGUGCUCAAAUUCAUCAUAUGUGUGUCGUUAAUUUUAUUGAAAAUUGGAAGUUCCCAUCAUUUUUGUUUUUUGGGAAUUUUCUGAACCAAGGAAAAUCAAGUAAAAUUAAUAAAGCCUAAAUUGGAAAGGGAAAAUAUCUAGAGGAUGCAUUGUAGGAUUGCUCAUGCCAAUAAUUGUACCCUCUAAAUAUAUAGAGACAUAUUUUUUUUGUUUUCAUGACAUGUGGUCCUAAAAUUAUUGUGUAAAUCUUCAAUCCUGAACGAUGCACCUAAAACUCAUCCACCCAUUCUCAGGCCAAUUAUUGCACCUAGUGGGCUCUCGACCCCCUCUCAAAUUUAACCACAUAUUUUAUGGACCAUCCAGCUGUGAGGUACAUUCCCCCCACAUGCCACAAUUGUAUAUUCACAAUUACGUCUGAUACAUCACAUCAUGCCACUUGCCUCAAAUGAAUUUAAGUGAGUGAGGCAGUUGGAAGUAAUUAAGCUCUAUAUUGGUGGGUGGAGUGUUACUUCUCGGUUCCCCUCAUCAUUCGUCUAUAAAAUGGUGAAGGCAGUUGCUAUUGUUACCAUAAGAGCCAGCUCCGACUUCCUUUAAUUUCUUGCUUCAUAUCCACUAGCUACAUCUGUUACCAAGUUAAUUUCAGUUCUAAUGGGGUUUCAUCUCCCACUCAUCUUUGCUCUUCUCAGUGUAAGCUCUGCAAUUUGAUUAACUUUUCCAUUCUCUCUCAUUGUACUCUAUAUAAACGAAAGUUUUGUGUUCCUAUUGUUCUCUCCGAUUUUAUUUAGUACGUACUUAAGUGUCGUCCACUAAUUAAUUAUACUUUGUGAUUUGAUUUUAAUUUGAGUUUGAAUUAAUGUUGCAGCUAGCAGCAGUGGCACUGGCAAACCAUGCUGCUCAACCAGCACCUCAACUUUACUGGAGCUCCGUCCUGCCAAACACACAGAUGCCAAGAUCUAUCAGUGAACUUCUGCAUCCUGGUUUGUGUUGAGCUCUUUAGAAUCUUAGAUAUCUCUUCUACCUGCCAUUUUACUAAAAUAUGUUCCACCACAUAUUUAUCAGUUAACCAUUGUCAUUACAUGAGUGACACAUAUUCACAAAUCGGCUGAUCACUUAUUUUCCAUUAUGACUUGAUAUAUAAUUUGCAGACUCCACAAAUGAAGAAAAGAGCACAAAUGACGUUGGCAAACCUGAAACUUUCCCAUUGGGCAAUCAACAUUACUCCAGUCAAAAACAUUAUGGAGGCAUACCUGAAACUUCCCCAUUGGGCAAUAAACAUUACUCCAGUCAAAAACAUUAUGGAAGAGGCAAACCUGAAACUUUCCCAUUGGGCAAUCAGCAUUACUCCAGUCAAAGACAUUAUGGAAGAGGCAAACCUGAAACUUUCCCAUUGGGCAAUAAACAUUACUCCAGUCAAAAACAUUAUGGAAGAGGCAAACCUGAAACUUUCCCAUUGGGCAAUCAGCAUUACUCCAGUCAAAAAAAGUAUGGAAGAGGUGCUUCUCCAUCCGACAAUCAACAACUCCAUUAUAAAGACUUAGCUAUUUUCUUCUUGGAGAAGGACAUGCGCCCUGGCACAACAAUGAAGUUCCAAUUCC
rnacentral:lncRNA from 1 species